CUCUCCCUCUCUCUCUGCCUCUCAAAUAAACAACUCUACUUGAAUAAAUAGAUUCUGCUACUCAUAUUACAAAUGAGAGUGAAGUAGUUACCCUUGUGUUGAGUUAUUUGAAUAUUUGGGAAUUAGAAAGGUGCAUAUGAAGGAAAAGAACUUCCAUAUUGGAAUUUUUUUUUUUUUUUUUUUAAUUUAAAGGCAGAGUUACAGAGAGAGGAGCAGACACAGAGAUAGAGAUGAGGGAUGAGGGGAGGGAGGGAGGCAGAGGGAGAGAGGUCUUCUGUCUGCUGUCUCACUCCUUAAAUGGCUGCAAUGGCCAGGGCUUGGCAGAUCAAAUCCAGGAGCCAGGAGCAUCUUCUGGGUCUCCCACAUGGGGGCAGGGGCCCAAGCACUGGGGCCAUCUUCCCCUGUUUUACCAGGCCACAGCCGAGAGCUGGAUCUGAAGUGGAGCAGCUGGACUGGAACUGGCGCCCAUAUGGGAUGCCGGCACCAAAGGCCGAGGCUUAAGCUACUAUGCCUCUGUGCUGCCCCGAGAUUGUUUUUUCUUAGUUAAGAAGACAAGAGAAUUUUGACUUUGAUCGAAAGGAUUAAGAAUCACAGUAUAGGGGCCGACACUGUGGCGUAGCGGGUAAAGCCGCCGCCUGCAGUGCCGGCAUCCCAUAUGGGCACCAGUUUGAGUCUUGGCUGCUGCACUUCUGAUCCAGCUCUCUGCUAUGGCCUGGGAAAGCAGUGGAAGAUGCCCAAGUCCUUGGGAACCCUGUACCCACGUGGGAGACCCAGAGGAAGCUGCUGACUCCUGGCUUCGGAUCAGCGCAGCUCCAACCGAUGCAGCCAGUUGAGGAGUGAACCAGCGGAUGAAGCGCGUUCUCUCUCUCUCUCUGCCUUUUCUUCUCUCUCUGUGUAAUUCUGACUUUCAAAUAAUUUUUUUUUAAAAGGAUCAUGGUAUGAUAAUCUCAUACCGUAUCUUUGUUUGCUUACUGCACUGGAGUGUGAAACUGUUCUCUGAGACCAUCUGGGGUGGAGAAGAAAAGGACAAGGGCCCCUGUUGUCCUAUCUUGGAGUUAGGUCAUGGGCACUGAAAGCAUCCUCAGUGGGACUACCACGUGAGGGACGGAUCCAGACAGCAACGCAUCUAGGUAGGAAGGCAGAAGAGUUUAUAAAAUUCCCAGGAAACAGAGUCUCAAGCCAUUUGGUGCAUUUAGCUAAGUAACAUUUGCAGUGAAUGGGUCAGUGUACCGUAAGGCGUAACUGUAAAGUUGAAGGAGGUGCAUUUUUGCUCUGUCGACUGCGUCUGCCGUGUGCUGUGCUGUGAUGCCUGGUGCACUGGGAGCCGCAGAUGAGUAAGGCGGAGGGCAGGGAGCUCAAAGGUCAGUGAGGGUGACCCUCAAAGGAGGAUUCACAAAGCAGUGUGUUCGUGCAGCGAGGAGGCGGUCUGGAAACCGGGAAAAGAGCCGGCGCUUGCAGCCGGCAGAUGAGACUAAUUCUUUGUAUUGAGAGGAUUGCUGGCGCUGCGGUAGCCUCUGCUCUGUGUUUUGUUCAGCCCCAUUUCAGCUAAAUGCUGUAAUAUUUAGGGCAUCUUAUGCAGCGUCAAACACAUCAAAGCAUAGAGUGAUGAAAGAAGGUUCUGAGGCAUUUUUACUUUCCAUUUGGGCAUAUAUCCAGAAUUCACAGAAAAUUUAAAGUGUUUUUUCCUUAAAGGUUACUUUGGUGAUUUUAAAUUCUAAACAAUCGUUGCAAGUAUGUUAAGCUUGUUAUAAUGUUAUAUUUUUUUAAGUAAGACUUGUUAAAAGUCUUUAUUUUGUCUAGAAUUAGCAAGUGGACAGCGAGCAAAGCAGGCAGAUUUUUUGUCAGGCAUAAACAACUUUGCAUCCUGUUGAUCAAGUAGAAAAUGCCUCAGUGAAUGCCAGGGCUAAAAAUACAUUCCUUCAGGUUUCUGGUUUUGUCAGAUGAGGGGUGGAGUCAUCAAACAGGAAGCAGGAAAUCCAGUAAACAGGAAUUGUGUCCUGAGAGAAUUCGCAGGGGACGUGGGGGCUCUCGCGCUCGGUUUCGGCUGAGUGACGUUUCAGCGCCAGCAGCACCUAUCUGAGAAUGCUGCAUCUAAUGCAGUGCCAAGUGGCGUUCUCUUUGCUGACUCCUGCCGGUGAUAAAUCAUCUUUGUAAGGUGGCGCGUGGUGGAUCGAAGAUCUGCAAGUUAAUUCAGUUAUGUUGUCGCAGAUCAGUCAAUUGUGCUCAUUGUGUAUUUUAAAGAUUUACUUAUUUUUAAAGAUUAUUUAUUUGAGAGCUUGUUUGGAGGUUCUAGCAGGGGAGCGCAGCUACUCGUAUACCCUUGACCGAAGACCUGGUCCUCCUCUAGCGGGGAAGGACGUACUCUUCGACCGAGAGUGCAGCUUCGAAAGAUUAUUUAUUUGAGCGGCAGAGUUAUACUAAGAGGGAGAGGCGGGAAGAGAGAUAUGUUCCUUCUACUGGUUCGCUCCCCAAAUGGCCAACACGGCCAGAGCUGGGCCAGUCUGAAGCCAGGAGCCUGAAGCUGCUUCUGGGUCUCCCACGUGGGUGGAGGGGCCCAAGGACACGGGCCACCUUCUGCUGCCUUUGCAGGUGCAGAAACAGGGAGCUGCAUUAGACCCGGAGCAGCCGGGAUUCAAAUGGCACUCACGGGAUGCUGGUGUCACAGGUGGUGGCUUAACCCCCUGUGCCACAGUACCAGCCCCAGACUACUUACUUGUCUUUAGCUUUAACGCUGCCAAUGCUUUACACUGUAAGGAGACAGUUUUUCAGUUUAGAUAGCAGUAGCUUUAGUGUAGUGUAAUAUGGUUAGUAUAGUUUCAGUAGUAGUAUAGCCAAAUGUUUCUAUGUUUUCCUCUAUACAGGGGCACUUUGCAAGGUUAAUGGGAGGGGCAUGGCCCUGUGGCAUAGAAGACUAACCCUCUGCCUGCAGUGCCAGCACCACAUAUGGCCCUGGCACCUACAUUGGAGACCCAGAUGAAGCUCCUGGCUUCAGCCUGGCCCAGCCCUGGCCGUCGCAGCCAUUUGGGGAAUGAACCAGUAGAUGGAAGAUCAACCUCUCUCUCUCUGCCUCCCUCCAUCCCUCCUUCUCUCUGCCUUUCAAAUAAAUGAAUCUUUAAAUAAAAGAUAGUGGGAGAUGGAAUUAUGAGGUAAGCUUAUUUUGGUAUAAAAAAUCUGCAAUCCAUGCAUAUGUGGGCUAUUAACAAGUUCAUGGAAAUAUGUAUUAUGCACAAACUUGGCAUGGAUCUUGAAAUUUUUUACACCAAAAUUGACUUUUUUUUCUUAAAAUUGAGAGGUGGAGAGAGAGUGAGUAAGCUGUCAUCCAGUGGCCCACUCCUCAAAUGUCCACAAGGGCCGAGGCUGGGCCACAUCUCCCAUGUGGGUGACAGGGACCGAACAUUUCAGCCAUCCACCUGCUGCCUCUCAGGGUGUGUGUGAGCAAGAAGCUGAGGUUGGGAGCGGAGCCAGGUGCUCUGAUAGGAGACACGGUUGCCUUAGCUGCUGGGGCAAUUAAAAGUAUCCUCCUCUAUGAGGAGGUUGGGGGAAUGAUGAAAAUCAAGGCACUGCACAGAAAGCUAACCCGAGACUUCUCUUCAAAGCAGUUGCUGUUGGAAGCUAUGUAUUAGCUCCUUAAUAUUCUUAGACUAUUUUGGGGAUAUCUCUUUUUGUAAUCGCUAAAUUUUGGAUUGUAUGGUGACAGCUUUGAAUGUUAAAAAUAUCCGAGGAUUCAGGAUGUGCUAAGUGCUGGGGAAGUAGAGAAGUGGAUAACCGAUGUGGAGGACUGUUCUGAUGUCAGGGGAGUGGUAAAUAAAGCAGAUUUCCUACUUCUGCAGCGGACAAAGAAAUAGCAAAUGCAGUCGGGACCGCCGGCACGUUAUUUAGCAGAGAGCGGCUGGAGGAAAGCACCGAAUACAGGUGAUACCAGUGUAAGGUCUAAGGAGAGUCUAAGAGGCCGUGACGCUAAGGCUUUGUACCUCUCAUUUUUUAAAGAAAUAUUUUUUUUUUUUUUGACAGAGUGGACAGUGAGAGAGAGAGACAGAGAGAAAGGUCUUCCUUUGCCAUUGGUUCACCCUCCAAUGGCCGCCGCAGCCAGCACGCUGCGGCUCGCGCACCAUGCUGAUCCGAAGGCAGGAGCCAGGUGCUUCUCCUGGUCUCCCAUGGGGUGCAGGGCCCAAGCACUUGGGCCAUCCUCCACUGCACUCCCUGGCCACAGCAGAGAGCUGGCCUGGAAGGGGGGCAACCAGAAGAAAUAAUAUUUUUAUCAAAAAGUAAAAACCCUCUAGAACCUAAUCUGAAACAACAAAAGUCAAACAAAAUUUCCUUUUGUACUCCCCCAUCCCAAAGCCUCUAAUGUGAUUUUAUAUUCUUGAAGAAAUAAUUAUAUAAUCCCAUCAGCGUAUUUAGAUGUCUUUUAUUAUCUCAAGCCAAUGCAAACAUUCUGUACACUAGUUCUUGCCUCUAAAUAUUUCAGUGGGAGGAUUCAGGCAGAGGCCAGCGUGGUUCUGCCCAGCAGAUGCACAGUGUCUUCCCGGGUACAUGUCCUUUAUCUUAGCGUCCUCUAGGGGCGGCCAUCCGGGUGUGUACAGAUUCCACAUCCCCUUACAGGUACAUAGUUCUGGGGUCCAUGUUGUGGCACAGUGGGUUAAAGCCUCACUCUGCAGUGCCGGCUUCCCAUGGGGCUGCCGGUUUGGUCCUGGAUGCUCUACUUCCAAUCCAGCUCUCAGCUGUGGCCUAGGAAAGUGGUAGAAGAUGCCCAAGUUCUUGGGCUCCUGCACCCACAAGGGAGACCCAGAAGAAGCUCCUGGCUCCUGGGUUUGGAUCAGCACAGCUCCGGCUGUUGCAGCCAUUUGGGAAGUGAACCAGCAGAUGAACUACCUCUCACUCUCUCUCUGUGUCUCUCUCUCUGUCUCUACCUCUUUCAAAUAAAUAAAGUAGAUCUUUAUAAAAAAAAAAAAAAGUAAAUAGUUCUGUGUCACCACACAGCAUUUCAUUUCAUGGAAAUUGCAUAUUAUGAAAAAACUGCAUGGGUUUCAAAAAUAUUUGCACCACAGCAAAAUUAUUUUUAAUUCCAUUUUCCACAAACUUUUUGAAAUACCCUCACGUGUGUGUUGAUAUGUUUGUGGAUGCUUUAUAAAAUUGAAAAAAACAAUUUUAAAAUUUUGUUUGACAGAGUAUGUAUGCAUGUGGUAGGGGUGAGAGAAAGAGAGGGAAAGAAAGAGAAAAAGAUCUCUCCAUUGGUUCACUCCGUAGAUGUCUGUAAUAGCGAAGGUUGGGCCAUGCUGGAGCCAGGAGGGAAUUCCGUCCAGAUCUGCCACGUGGGUGGCAGGGACCCAAGUACUUGAGCCAUCACCUAUGUUUCCCGGGUGUGCAUUAGCAGAAAGCUUUUCAUGAGUAGAUGUUAUCAGUCAGAUUCCUGGUAGUGGAAUUACUGAGUCUACAUGAAUGUCUAGUUAACAUUUGGAUACAUACUGCCAACUGGGUUGUUGAAAAGGAUGUCCCAAUUUAUAGUUCCACCAACAGUGAGUUAUGUUGCGUGCCGGAAAAGGCUUUUCAUUGCAUUUUUUAGAUUUUGCCACUCUGGAGUGGCGGAAAUAUAUAUUGCACUGUUCAAAUAGCAUUUCUUUGAUUCUGAAUGACUUUGAACAUAUUGUCAUAUGUUUACUGACCAUUCUGAAAGGUAGCCUCAGCCAGUUUUACGUCUGUUUUGGUUGGAGGGUCAUAUGUUACGUGGAGAGAUAGGCUCAGCACAGAGCGGUGUUCUGAAAGCCACGCUCAUGUAUCUGUGAGGGAGGUGCAUGUAUACUGAACUGAAGACAGAAUUUCACAUACCUCCCCAACACAUGUGGCCAAAUGUGUCCGCCACAUUGAGGACAUCUAAGAUAGGAGUAGCAGCUUCGUUCUCCCUUUAUGAAACUGGACAUUUAGUUUUCCUUUUCGACUUUGGAAGUAACAAGAGGUGCCCCAGUGCCCCUCAGAAAAUGAAAAGUCCUGGUUCUGUCUUGUUUUACUUCCCUUUUAUUUCUUCCCUAUUUGUUAGAGGUGGAAGUUAAUGGAUUUAUAGCUCUUGACAAAUGAGGAACAUUUUUUUCUCUUAUAUAACAAGUCUCGAUUGAUAUCUGACAAAACCAGUUAGCAAUUUAUUUGGAGUAUUUGGAAAUGAAUUAUAACAUGGAAAAAUCCUACUGGUACAUUGGCAAGUGGAUGGGACCAGAUGAUCAAAUAUUUCAUUUCUAUAUCUACAUUUCAUGAGUCAGUUUCACACAACAGCUGUUGUGGGGGAAGGGUUGACGUACCAGGAUACUUCAUGAUUUAUGAAAAAGAAAAAAGGGAAAAAAUGCAUUUGGUCAUGAAAUGGUGAACCAAGGACAUUUAUUGCUAAAAGGUUGCUUGAAACAUAAAAUAGUCAUUUGUUUUUGUUUCAGUGUUUUAAAUUAUAGAAAGCAAUGGUUAAUUUAAAAACUCCUCUAGCUUGUAAAUAAUGGUAACUGGUAGCAGAUAGUUGGUGGCUGUUGCCUGGGUGUUAAGCAUUUCACCCACAGUCAUCUUAUGUGAUGGACGUAUGGGGAUUAUCCCCGCAGCAGAGGCCUUGGAAGUGAGAGACUUCUAGGGCUGAUGCAGGUGGGAGUGGUGGAACUGGGGUUGCUGGCAGGGCUCUUCUGGAACUGGUGCCCUCACGCACUCUGAGAAUUGGCUGCAGGUAAUCAAGAGAAAACAUGACUUGUGAAUUGAGCCUGUCUCCUUAAAACAAAUGCCUGUUUAUUUUCGUGUAUUAAAUUUUUUUCCUUGAGUACCUUCCGGGAUUAAGAAGUGAUUGGUUCCUGCUAUAAUAAAUCCCGUUUUUCUCGUUUUCUUGAUGGAGACAUGUUGCUAUUUGGGUCUGAGGCUUCCCACGUUUAGGUCCCACACACUCAACAGAAGCCCGUAAAAAUGAGGAGCACGCAAGGCAAGGCUACGUUUGGAGCGCCUGUUUUCUCAGUUUUAUGGUGUGCUCAUGAAGAGUCCGUCUGGCAGAGACUAUUCCACCGGGCCCAGAACUAGUUAGUUAAUAAAAGCAGGAUUGUUGAAACUUAGGAGGUAAGUGAGUUCAUUUGGACUGAGCUGGGAGGCCACAGACAAGCCUGGGUAAGAGCUGGGUCACACGUGGUGCUGCGGCUGCCCUCAGGCUGGUAUGUGAUGCGGAGUGAGUUGGACGGAGUAGGUGUUUCUGGUCUUAUUUUGAAUGGGCAGGGUGCUUUUGGAGGAAGGCGUUGUCUCUGAAAGAUGGCCUCACUUUUUGAUAGACACUGUUGCCAUGGAGAUCUGUAUAUUCUGCAAACUAACUUCUGGUAAUAGGAAGUGUGGCUCUGGGCUGUGUGUGGGGGGCUGUGAGAGCAGAGUGCAUUGCAGAGGUGCAGCCAGUUUUCAGGAGCUUAUCUUCCAGUAGCCAGAUACCCAUGAGUCAGUCCUUGACAGCCUGCCUUCCUCAUUGUCUUUGUUCCUCUGUGUGUGUGUGAGGCAGUUGUCCCUUCACGAGUCUCAGGGUGCCCCUUCUCACCCAGAGCCGGAGUUCGCUGGACGCCCUUCCAAUCUGUUUUUAAUUCUUCUGCUCCAUCUGUAUGUCCAUAAACUGCAUUCUUAAAGUUCAUCUAAAUACCAUCAUGCUUCAUAUGUCAUUUUACAACUUGCCUUUUCAUUACUGGAUUUUUUUUAAGUUUUAUGUAUAUAUUUGAGAGAGUGAGGGCUCCCAUGCUUGGAUUCACUCUCCAAAUACUUGCAAUAGCCAGGGAGGUUGAAACCAGGGAGCCAGGAACUCAAUCCAGGUCUCUCCCAUGGGUGGCAGGAACCUAUCCACUUGAGGCAUCCUGCUGCCUCCCAGGGUCUGUAUUAGCAGUAACCUGUGAUCAGGAACUGGAGCAGGGAAUUAAGUCCAGGGACUCUGAUAUGGGAUGUGUGGUCCCAGCUGGCAUGUUACUCGGCAGGCCAAAUGCCUGCCCUUUAGCUAACAUUGACAUCUCUCUCAUUCAGUCGUUGAAAAACUUUUUGAAGAUUUAUUUAGUUUAUUUGAAAGGCAGAGUUAGAGAGAGAGAGAGAGAGAAUGAAUAUAUCUGCUAUUUUACUUUCCAAAUGGCUAUAACGCAAAUGGUCUGAACUCCAUCCUCAUCUCACUGUGGGUGGCAAUAGCUUAAGCACUUAGGCCGUCUUCCGCUCCUUUCCUAGGUGCAUUAGCAGGGAGCUGGAUUGAAAGUGGAGCAGCCGGGACUCAAACUAGUGCUCAAAUCGGAUGCCAGCAUCCUAGGCGGUAGCUUAACCCACUGUACCACAACAUCAGCCCCUACAUUUUUUUUUAAAUUUUAAUUUUUUGUAGGUUACAGAACGAUAUGCUACAUGUAUACAAUAUAUAAUAACUAAACAGGGUAGUUGGCUUUUCCAUUUCCUUAAACUUAAAAAACAUUAAAGAAAUAUUUAAUAAUAGUGACAUGUGUCAGCGGUACAGUGUGACACUCCAGUACACAUGCAAGUUCACAGCGCAUACUGAUUAAGUCAGGGAAAUCGACAACUCCAUGUCGCCAUCGACAUCUCAUGUUUGAAGCCUUCCAGCAGCUCCUUUCCAGCCAUUCAUGAAACCUUGGAGCUUACUGUGCCCACAGUGUGCUGUACAGCACCAGCAUGCUUCAUUUAUUUUACUUUAUUAUUUUAAAGAGGAUGCAAACUUUGAAAAAAUUUUUAUUUUUUGUUUUCUUUUAUUCAAAAGGCACACGUGCGUGCACACACACAGAUACACACACACACAGAUACACACACCUACAGAGCAAGUGAGCAGGAGGGAGAGAGAUUGCCCAUCUGCUGGUUCACUCCCCAAAUGCCCAUAACAGCUAUGACUGGGCCAAGCCAUAGUCAGGAGCCAGAAACUCAGUCCAGAUCUCCCACAUGGGUGGCAGCAACCCAAGUACUUGACUUGACCCCUGCUGUAUCCCGGGGUUUACAGGAAUUUGGAAUUGGCUGUGAAGUCUGGACUCGAACUCAGGCGCUCUGUGGAUGCUGGCAUCACAAGCUGGGUUUUAGCUGCUGUUCAGACACCAACUCCAAGUUCAUUUAUUUCGUUGGUGGAUAGUAUACCAUUGCACCACAGUUGAUCUAGUGCUUUGGCGAUGGACAUUUAGACAUUCUUCUGUAACUCCAAAGUUCCAUUUGUUUCUGUCCAUUCCACGUUGUUGAGUUUAGGAACUCAAUAUCUGCUUGAUUUCAUUUUUAUUUGGCUAAAGCUAUUUUGUUAAUUAUUAAGUUGUCUUUAAUCUGUUCUCUCAAGUCUUUGAAAUGAUCUCUCUUCAGUUUAUUACUUUUAAAAAAUUGUCAGGACCGGUGCUGUGGCAUGGCGGGUAAAGCCACCACCUGAAGUGCUGGCAUCCCAUCUGGGCACCGGUUUGAGUCCUGGCUGCUCCACCUCUGAUCCAGCUCUCUGCUAUGACUUGGGAAAAUAGUAGAAGAUUGUCUGAGUCCUUGGGCCCCUGUACCUACAUGGGAGACCCAGAAGAAUCUCCUGGCUCCUGCCUUUGGAUUGCUGCAGCUCUGGCAUUUGCGGCAUCCUGGGGGGAGUGAACCAGCAGAUGGGAGACCUCUCUCUCUCUCUCUCUGCCUCUCUGUAACUCUGCCUUUCAAGUAAAAUAAGUAAAUCUUUAAAAAAGAAAAAAAUUGGCCGGCGCCGCGGCUCACUAGGCUAAUCCUCUGUCUUGCGGUGCCGGCAUACCGGGUUCUAGUCCCGGUCGGGCCGCCGGAUUCUGUCCCAGUUGCCCCUCUUCCAGGCCAGCUCUCUGCUGUGGCCCGGGAGUGCAGUGGAGGAUGGCCCAAGUGCUUGGGCCCUGCACCCCAUGGGAGACCAGGAGAAGCACCUGGAUCCUGGCUUUGGAUCAGCGCUGUGCGCCGGCCGCAGCGCGUCAGCCGUGGCGGCCAUUGGAGGGUGAACCAAUGGCAAAAGGAAGACCUUUCUCUCUGUCUCUCUCACUGUCCACUCUGCCUGUUAAAAAAAAAAAAAUUGUCUUCAGGUGCCGGUGCCGUGGUGUAGUAGGCUAAGACUCCGUCGAUAGUUCUGGCAUCCCAUUUGGACCCCAGCUUGUGUCUUGCUGCUCUUCUUCUGACCUAGCUCUCUGCUGUGGCCUGGGAAAGCAUUGGAAGACUGCCCAAGUGCUUGUGCCCUUGCAGCCACGUUGGGUGACCCAGAAGAAUCUCCUGGUGUCUGAGCAGCCCAGCUCCAGCCAUUGUGGCCAUUUGGGGGCAUGGAUGGAAGACCCUUCUCUCCGUCUCUCCCUCUCUCUCUCUGUAACUCUACCUCUCAAAUAAAUAAAUAAAGUUAUCUUUGAUGGGGGCUCCCGUGGUGUUGCAGUGGAGUAGCCAUGACUUGCAGUGUCAGAUCCCAUAUUGGAACACCGAUUCAACUUCUGCUGAUCUGCUUCGACCCAGCUUCCUGCUCACACAACAGGGAAGGCAGAGGAAGAGGGCCCACGUGCGUGGGACCCUGCCGCUCACACGGGAGGCCAGAACAUGCUUCCUGGCUCCUGACUUCAGUCUGGCCCAACUGGCGGCUGUUGCAGACAGCUGGGGAGUGAGCCAGUGGAUGGAAGAUUUCUCCCUUUCUUCCUCCCUCUGUUGUUCUGCCUUUCGAAUAAAGAAAUCUUUAAAACAAAUUAUCUUGGGUAUCCUUCAGGCGUUUCUUUUCUUUGGAUAUUCAACCUAGCAAAAGUGUGGUACCCACACCCAGGAACGUGCAGCGUGGCUGGGCGCCGGGAUGGUCUCGAUUCAUCUUUGCAAGAUGCAUUGUUUUUAGAAGGUCCUAAUUAACAGCACUGCUGUUGACUGCAAGGAGCUGCUUGUAACACCCUUGGUGGGUCAGUGAGUUGUAGAGAAAGCACAGAUAAAACAUUCUGGAUACUUCGGAUCAAGCUGCGUUGAUGAUUGCACUUAUUAAAUAACUUUCUUAUUAAAAGCAUUUUUAUAUUAUCGUAGUGCUGUUCAGAAAGUGACACUGAAAGUAACACGGAAUUGUGUUUGCUCAACACAGCUGUGAAAAAUACAGGUUAUGUCAGUGCUGUCAUUGAAAUAUCAUGUAAGCCACACAUGUAAAUUUAAAAUUUUCUAGGAGCCAAACUAAAAAAGUAAACUGAACACAGGUAAAAUAAAUGUUAUUUAAUCAACAUGCCCCCAAAACAUUGUUACUUUCCACGUGUUAUAUAUUUAGAAGCCUGUGGAGAUAUUUUGUUUCUUUUCAUACCAAGUGAUUGAAAUCCAAGUGAUUGAAAUUCCUUUUUACAAUUUUUAUUGAUUUGAAAGGCAGGUAGGGAGAGAGAGAGGUAGAGAGGGAGAGGGAGAGAGAGAGAGAGAGAGAGAGAGAGAGAGAGAGAGAGAGAGAGAUUUCUCAUGUGCUGUUUCACUUCCUCACUGCUCACAAUAGCCAAGCUGCGGCCAGGAGCCUAGAAAGCAGUUCAGGUUUCCCAUGUGGGUUGCAGUGACCCAAGUACUUGAGCCAUCACCUGCUGCCUCCGGGGUAUGCAUGAGCUGGAAGCUGGAUUUGAUCCCAGGCCCUCUAGAAAUGGGAUACAGUGUCCCAGGUGCCAUCUGAACUGCGGUGCUGGAAGUCCUGCUCCACAGUUGUGUGUUUCAUACUUAACAGUGUACCCCAGUUGGGGCUAGAGUGCAUCUCACAGCUAAAUGUCACCAGUGGGUAGUCAGGUAUAGAAAAUCCAGGUUUAAGGAUCAGCAUGGGUGCAGGUUGGAGGGAGUGUUCUGGGAGGAGCUGGGAGGCUCCCCCCCGGCUCAGUAAAACCUAAGACACUAGAUGCUGCGUGGGAUGUCAGGAAGGACCUUAGGUGCAUGGCCUGAGCAGUAGGAGUGACUGUCUCAUGCCAGAGUAAGCAGCUGGCCUGUCCCAGAGGGCUGACCUUCAGAGAAGUGGGGAGGGAGGGUUCUGGGGGUUAGCUUCAGCACCUGAUCAAGGGUUGUGGGCAGAGCCACGUGCCAUCUGUUCGUAAGGACAGAUUCCUUAUCUGGUUAUCUGGUAGGAGAAGAUCAUGCAGACAGGUUACUUUUUUUUUUUUUAAUAUUUAUUUAUUUAUUUGAAAGAGUUACACACAGAGAGGAGAGGCAGAGAGAGAGAGAGAGAGGUCUUCCACCCACUGGUUCACUCCCCAAUUGGCCUCAACAGCUGGAGCUGCGCCAAUCCGAAGCCAGGAGCCAGGAGCCAGGAGCUUCCUCCGGGUCUCCCACAUGGGUGCAGGGGCCCAAGGACUUGGGCCAUCUUCUGCUUUCCCAGGCCACAGCAGAGAGCUGGGUUGGAAGUGGAGCAGCUGGGUCUCAAACCAUCAUCCAUAUGGGCUGCUAGCGCUUCAGGCCAGGGCGUUAACCCACAGCGCCACAACAAGGGCCCUGACUGGCAGGUUAAUGAAAGUGUUAUGUGUCCCUUCCCCAGAUAACUCCCCUCCUCCCAUAUUUCAUGGUCAUCCUUGCAGAGAACUAAUUUGGAUAAGCUCUGAGGUGGUUGUUAUAUCAUUCUAAGUGAUUACUGUAAAGAGCAUGAUUAGGGAUGGGAAUGAGUUUAUAAAAGCAACAAAAAGUGGGAUGUUGGCCUGUAUGCGUAUGCUUAAUGCUUUGGGUAUGAUCAGUUGUACAAUCAAAAAUUAAGAGUUUUAAACUUUAGUGCAUUUUGGACUUUCUUCACAUUUUUACCAUCAUAUUAAAGGGAAGGAAACUGUGGCAUCAUUAAUCUAAAAUUAUUUUUUAUUUUCUACAUUACUUUUCUAUUAACUGGCUUUUUCUUUAAAACUGAUUUUUGCUAAACAUUAUUAGGGAAAGUUACUUGCAAUGUAAGGGGUAUCAUACUUACAGAACACAAGGUACUUUUAUGUUUCAGUAAUAGAAACAGCAGUAAUAAACAAGGGAAAGGAAAAAUACAAAAGGAACUACAAGUGGUCUAAAAUACACGAAAAGCGAUUUCCACUAGAAACUAUGCAAUUUGCACAAAACACCAUUUUUUGGUUUUUGAAAUUGAAAAAAUAUUGGAGAAAGAUAAUAGCCAGUUUUCCUAGGGGUUUGAAGAGACAGGUUAGGUGCUUAGCUAGAGUCACACAAUUUGGGUGGCAGAUAAGUAUUACAGUAUUGUUUACACUUCUAUGGCUUGAUGGUGUGAAUACAGAAUUGGGACUACAAGGCUGUUGUGUCUUGUUGAUCCUGAAGAUACUUUUGGUAGAGAUCAGGGAUGAAAGCUGGUUGAAGCAUGCCCAGGUAGGUGUUAGAUGAGAUAUAUUGUUCCAUGUUUACUUCCUUUUUCCACUAAACAUGGAAUUUAUUGUUCAUUCCAUAGUUUUCUGUAAAGCACUCCUGAAGUUUAGUGAGCCCACAUUUUACUGUUGUUUGUUUCAGCAGUAGAACAUUGUCUUUCUGUUUAUUGUAUUCUGGUGUGACUGUCUAAAAGAAGCAAAAGUAAAUUGAAUUCUUAUUAGACACAUUAUUUCCUUUUGUGCAAUCUCUCUCCAUAGCCUGGUUUCUCAGGUUUCAUAUUUCAUUAGCGUUUUGUUACUGUGUUUCUUAAAGAGAGAAGGUUGUGGAUAAAUUAUUUUUGGAUCCAAAUUAAGCUUCUAUUAGUUUAUUUACUACAGCAGUUUCUAGCUAUGGAUUUUCUAAGCUCCAUGGUGCCUUGAAUUUCUGGUAUAACCCCUAAGCAAGAGAGGGUAGAAUAUAUGUUCUCAAGCUUCAUUGACUGAGAAUCCUUCUGCAGAGUCAUCGUGAAAGUUAAUUAGAGCCGGUGCCGGCACACCGGGUUCUAGUCCCGGUCGGGGCGCCGGAUUCUGUCCCGGUUGCCCCUCUUCCAGGCCAGCUCUCUGCUGUGGUCAGGGAGUGCAGUGGAGGAUGGCCCAAGUGCUUGGGCCCUGCACCCCAUGGGAGAUCAGGAUAAGCACCUGGCUCCUGCCAUCGGAUCAGCGCGGUGCGGCCAUUGGAGGGUGAACCAACGGCAAAGGAAGACCUUUCUCUCUGUCUCUCUCUCACUGUCCACUCUGCCUGUCAAAAAAUAAAAAAGUUAAUUAAAGUUUCAGUUUUUUUCUUUCUUCCUACUCCCUGCCCCCCCCCCCUUUUUUUUUUUAAAGAUUUACUUAUUUAUUUGAAAGGCAGAGUUACAGAGAGGGAGAGGCAGAGGCAGAGAGAGAGAGAAAUCUUCCAUCCAGUGGUUCACUCCCCAAAUGGGCACAACAGCUGGAGCUGGGCCUAUCCAGAGCCAGGAGCUUCUUCCGGGUCUUCCACAUGAGUGCCAGGGUCAAAGCACUCAGACCAUUUUCCGCUGCUUUCCCAGAUGCAUUAGCAGGGCGCUGGAUGGGAAGUGGAGCAAUCGGGACUCGAACCAGUGCCCAUAUGGGAUGCCAGCACUCCAGGUGGCGGCUUUAUUUGCUGUUCUACAGCACUGGCCCCGUCCCCCUCCUUUAAUAAGAGGCUGUUUUAUAUCAGUAAUGGAAAAGAACAAAAGAAUGGUUCCCUGUGUUUAAUCCCUAAAUAGAUUGUUUCUAUGUAUAUUAUUGUAUGAGCUCUCAAAUUGUUUUACCUGUUAAGCCCCCAGAGUUCUUGAUGGAAUUGCUCAGCAGGGGUAAGUGUGCCCCAUCUGUUAUCAGAAGUUCUUAGGAGACAAAGCUGCUGUUACGAACAGAUAUGCCUUAGUAAAAACAUAAUUUUAAGACUUCAUAGAUAAAAUUUCCUGGCACCAAAAUUGUUGUAAAGAUGAUUUGGCACAGGUGGAAAUUGGAUCUAGAAAGACUAUUUUAAUUAAUUAAAACAAAAUUUUUUUAAUUAAAGACUUUAUUUGAGAGGCAGUGUUACAGAGAGAGGGAGAGACAGAAAGUGAGUCUUCCACCCACUGGUUCACUCCCCAAAUGGCUGCGGCAGCCCGAGCUGGGCCGAUCCAGAGCCAGAAGCCAGGAGCCUCUUCUAGGUCUCCCACAUGGAUGCUGGGGCCUAGGUGCUUGGGCCAUCUUCUACAGCUUCCCCAGGCCAUGGCAGAGAGCUGGACCACAAGAGGAGCAGCCGGGACACGAACUGGCGCUCAUCUGAGAUGCCUGCACUGCAGGUGGCGGCUUUACCCGCUAUGUCACAGCUCCGAUCCAUCUUAAUUCUUUUAGUGAGAAGGUUUUGACUUGCAUUUUCCAAAUCCUAGUAGGCUCACCAAAUUGUAUUCAUAUAUAUAUUGUUAUUAGUUAUAUUGUAUUACUAGCAGUAUUAUUCUAUUUGCAGUAAUUCUAUAGAGUCAUUCGUAGCCACUGAAUUAGCUCCAUCAGGAAACACAUGAGGUUCCUGCGGCUCUCUGAUGACGUAUUUCUUUUAUGUGUGCGUCUGCUUACAAACACCUUACUUAAUAUUCACAGUAUGUUUGAUUCGUUGACAGGGGAUUCAUAGCCAGGAGCAAGAUUGCCCACACCUGAAGGCAGCUUGUCUCAGGGACGUGACAGCCUUCUUGCACUGUGCCUGUAGUCCGCUUCAUUCUUUUUAAGUUUGAGAGGCAGAGAAAGAGAGAGAUGGAGAGGUGGAGGUAGGGGAGAGAGCCUAGCUGUGGCUUGGCCUGGACCAAAGCUGGAGCUGGGAGCCGGAAUGCAUUCCAGGUCGCUUGCUUGGAUAUCAGGAACCCAACUACUUGAACGGUUUCAUUGCCUCACAGGGUCUGCGCUGGAAGGAAGCUGGAGUUAGGAGAUGAAGCUGGGUACCGAAUGCAGGCGGCCCUUACAUGGGACACAGGCGUCUGAACUGCCAGGUUAAAUGCCUGCCUUAAAUAGCUAAAUCACCAAAGAAGCACACAAAAUUGGGAAAAAUGUGAAAUCGAAUUGCCAUGAGAAAGAUACUUCCUAACAGUAUGAGAACCAAAGCAAGAAGGCAGAGGAUUCGCUUGUCCACCUCACCUGGGAGUGUUGCUCCACGUGUGCCUGGAACAACUGUGGAAGUGCCACGAGCAUCGUGUGUGGUAGUUGCAAAUAUAUUUUUGCAAAUAGAUUCACAAAUAGGAGUUUGUGGAACCCGUGAUGAAUGGGCCGUGUUUGGGUGGUUCUGUUAUCAAACGUUGACCCAGCAGCUCAGGUGGCAGGCCCCUGAGGAGUUGACCCUGCUUGCCUGCCUCUUUUAGGCCUGGUGCUGGUGUUCUAGGUCCAGCUGGAGCAUGAAGACGGUGUAGUGACCAGAACGAGGGCUCAGCUGGACACUUUGUGCUCACAGUUGUUGGCUAUAUCAGAGAUGUAUAUUGUGCUUCCUGUUCCUUGUGCUUUGCAUACUAGUGUAAGUUAUGAUGAAGAGCAUAAGUAGCAUAAAUACUGGCUUCGAAAACAGACUGCAUCAUUUGCAACCGAGUUCUGCCGUCCAUCGUUUGGCGGCUUGUUCUUGUGGACUCAGCUGCAGUGAUGCGGGCCCCUCUGUGGAGGGUGGUUCAGUCUGGUGCUGACUGAGCGGGACGGGACUGAAGAGAUAAUUGAGUCCAGUGGAAUGACCAGACUUAAGCAGAGCUUGUUAACUAAUUAUUAAGGAUUUUUCUUUUUCAUUUCAGAUGGUCAAAUGGAUUUUAUGUGGUGACUUAGUUUUUCAUAAGAUUAAAGACAUAUUAAGCACCUGUUAGGCUUAAAGCUCCGUGGUAGACUGUGGAGAGUGAAUCUAAAUAAGUAAAACAUGUUGUUCCUCUUAGGCGCUCACAGUCUGUCUUUUAGAAUGCAAAAUAUUAAAAAACAAAAGAAGUGUGGGCUUCUGGAGAGAAGUUGGUUCGUCAGUGCUUGGAGUGGAAGGUAGCUGGCAGCAUCACGUUGCUUUGUGACGUUGUAGUCAUUCGUGUGUGUUUGUGUUGCAGAGCGAGUGUCUGUGUAUAAAAGUAGGGCAUCACCCAAAAUAAUCCAGUGUUGCAUUUCAGGAGAGUAGUUACUUGUGUGGCACUUGUGUGGCAGUAACAGCAUUGGACAGGAGUGUUGGAACGAGACAAGCCAUUGCUUGUAAGGAUAAGGCCCCUUGGUGGAUCCUGGGCAUGGCCGUGGGAAGGAGGGGUAGAGGAGCAAGAGUCUGUAGGUCUUGAUCCCUGAGGACGAGUGGAGAGACUGUGGGCAGUGAGCCCCGGGGCCUUUCAGCUGAGGGAUGUGCCUCCUCUGCAGUCUAAAUCAUUCCUUGUCUGGAAUUCAUAUCCGCAGAUCCGCGGGUAUGACACGCGUCAGAAUCCAUGAAAUUCCUUAGCGUUGUUUCGAUUUUUAGCCGCAGCACAAAACUUUUUUUAGGUUCAUCUGUCCACACAUGUAUGGUUGUUUUCAAAAAUAAAUCUUUUAUUCUGGAACAAUUUUAGAUUACAGAAAAGUCACAAAGGUACUGUAGAAAGCUUUUGUUUAUACUUGACUGAAUUUUCCCCCAGUUGUUACUAUCUUAACAUUCAUCUGUGAAAACUAAGAAGCCGUCGUUGGUAUAUUACUGUGAACUGGACUUGCAACUUUACUCAGACCCCUGGUUUUUCCACUAGUGAAUCUUUUUGGCCCAGGAUCCUCUCCAGGACACCUCGUUGUGUCGUUGAGCCUCCCUCUCUGGCCUGUGCCUUUGCCUCGUUUUUUCUUCCUUUGACCGUUUACGGGCUGAUGUUCAGGUGUUUUUAAUAAUGCCCCUCAGCUGGGAUUUGUGUGAUGGGUUUCUGGUAAUCAGAAUGUGGUUAUAGGUUUUUCUGUUUCAGUCAUGUUGUGUCAAGUGUACAUGCUGUCACCAUGGCUCAUCACUGCUGAUGUCCACCUUGAUUACCACCUGAAUUACCUGCGCUAGUGUUGUCAGGGGUCUCCACUAUAGUCCUCCACCCUCCUGUGCACCCACUUCUUCACAAGCAAGCCAUUAAAUCCAGCACACACUCCAGGGGGACGUGUAGUUAAGUUUCCCUCCUGGAGGGAAGUAUCUAAAUUUACAGGGCUGUGUUUGGAAUUCUUCUGUAAGGUGUAUUUACCUCUGUCUGUCUGUCUGUCUAUCUCCUGCAUAUAUUUUUUCAGGAUGGACUCAAGUGUAUUUCUUUCAGCCUGUGGCUUAUGACUUCAUAGUAAGUCAUGUAUUUCAUUGCUCAGACUUUUCAGCUGUUGGCAUUCGAGCUCUUUACUGCUUGCCCCUGUUUCCAUUCAGAGUGUCCUUGUUUGUUUGAGAACUCUCUUACUGCCUGUUACUAGGAAGUACUCCAGGUUCAUCAUGCAUUUUCCUUUUUCCUCGCCGCAGUCCUAGGGUCACCGUUUCUCUAAGGGUCCCUGGAUCCUCUUACUUAUGGAGAGUGAUAGUGGAAACCAAGGUCUGGUGCUGGGCUGCUGCUCGCUCCCUGGGUCUCUCUGGAAGAAGAUAGGACACAAAUGCACGCGUACCACUACACAGAAGUAUAGCUUUGUUGUGUCAAGGCUUUCAGACGCUCUGUGUGUAAAGCUUCAUACUUGGAGGUUAGCAUCGAGCUCUUGGGGCUGGCCUUGUGGCGUGGAAGUUAAGCUACUGCUUGUUGUUGCACCCCUUGUUGGGAGUGUCAGUUCAUGUCCUGGCUGACGUGGCUGGUGGACUGUGGACGAUGGCACAAGCACUUGGGCCCCUGCCUCCUAUAUGGGAGACCUGAAUGGAGUUCCUGGCUCCUGGCUUUGGCUUGACUGAUGUGGCCAUUUUGGGGAGUGAAACAGUGGGUGGAAGGUCUCCCCUGUCCCCUUGCUUCGCCCCUCGCCCUUCCCCCUCUCCCCCAUCACUUUGCCUUCCAAAUAAAUAAAUCUUUUAAAAUUAAACUCUGCAGGCAAUCUGUUAUUUUUUAGGCACGGCCACGAAUGUCUAUAAAUCAAUACCAUUACAUAGACAUCUCCUCCAGAGCCCUCUUCUCUUUUUUGGUUGUAAAGUAUUAUAUUUUUGUUACUGUUGACUCUCCCGGCAUGGAACUUUGUGCAGAACUUUUUGCAGCCUGUGAAGAAUGGUAUAUUUCACAUUUUCCCUAAAAGAAGAGAUAUUUGGAUUUUGUUAUUUUGGGGUUUGAUAGGUUACAAGCUGGGAUAAUUUCCUCAUAGUCAUGAGUUUAUUGUGCAAAGAGAAUUCACAUGUGUGAAUUUCUAUAUUGGUUUUCAAGCAUUUUUUUUUUUUUUUUAAAGCUUACUUGAGAGGCAGAGAGAGCAAGCGAGCCAGCUCCCAUCUGCUGGCUGUUUCUCCAGAUGCCUGCAAUGGCUUGGGCUGGAACAGAACCAAGCCCAGGAGCCCUGAACUCAAUCCUGGUCUCCCUUGUGGGAGGCAGAGACCCAGUGAGCUGAAUCAUCACCAUGUUCUCCCAGGAUCUGCAUCGGCAGGAAGCUGGAGUCAGGGGCCAGGGGUGGGUAUCAAACCCUGACUGAUGUGGGACGACCACUAGGCCAAAUGCCCGCCUCCUUUGUUGGCAUCAAUAUCAGUUGGUGCGGUGGGCAUGCACUUAUUUUGAUGUGGAGUCACGGAACUGAAUUGAGAUUGUCCAGCUCAGCGGUUCCCGUGACUGUACAUUGAAACAUUUGGGGAGCUUUAAAAAACACUCAUGCUGGGCUCUUAUCCCCAGGAAUCAUAAUUUAAUUGAUUUGGAGUGUGGCCUGGGCCCCAGACUUUUACAGGGCUUCCCCAGGUGAUUGUAAUGUGCAGUCAGGUUUGAGAAACUCUGUUAUCAUCCCUUACUCAGGACGAGAAAAGUGAGACCUGGACGUAUUAAUCAAGUAAUUGCUACUCUGAGGAUCCAAAACCAUGAUGAAAUUUAGCAUGACUCUUAACCUAACGUGCAUACUGAUGCUUUUAAUCAUUUAGACGUGCAACUAGAAAGGCUGGAGAAGUCUCUCUUCUCCUAGUCUCUUCUUUCAGCUGGGCUACCGGUGACUCGCCAAGGUGAGAAGUUUGGAUUCAGCGCAGGAGUGGCUGGAUUGUGUCUGACAGCUGUAGCCUUUCUGACUCGACCCCCCUGCCCUCCCCCCCCAGCAAUUUCCUGAAAUUGGAUGUUUGCAGUUUCUUUGAGAGAAUAUCCCCACCGUGGAUGUUCUUUAUAGAAAACUGUAGGCUGUUCAAGGAAGAAUACUUUGCAAAAUUUCAAGUAAAGAGUGUUUUGGAUGAAACCGAGGUUUAGCUGCCCUUACGUUAGGAGGACGUACACACACCGCACUGCCUGGCAUGGUCUACGGUAGUCACUCAGUUGGUUUGUGAGUGAACAAAUGAAAGGUCUGUGUUUUAGUUGUUAAGCAUGUGGCUAUCUCUCAGCUGAUAAGUGCGGAUACUGUAGCCUCAAGGAUCUCUGCUUUGACUGGUUAGAUAAGGACUCUGACCUUCUGCAAGUUGCUUAACUUCUUUAGGCUCCAGUUUUCUUGUAAAGUUAGGGUUGGAUAGAUGCUUUUUCAGGACUUUUCCAGCUCUUAGCAUUUUAUGAUUCUAUGACCAUUAACGCUUGCCAAUAUAAUAUUAAGUAAGAAUGCUAUCUCCUAGCCGUCUGGAGGAGGUAGUGCUGUCACUGGGCUCCUCAGGAGGUUGUCCAUCUGGUUAGAACUAGAGAAGCAAAUAAAAUAUAUUUAAAAAUAAAAAAAAAAAAAACGAGAGAAGCAAGUAGGACUCAGGACAUUGAUGAAAUGACAAGGAAAAAAACUUAUUAGGUCUGUAGAAUUUGGCUUUGAAGGACAGUAUUUGGUCCAUUCUCUCCUGGCACAACUCUUGAUUUCUCCUAAGAAGUGAAGAAGAUGUUGGGCUAGGCUGAGCCUAAAUUUCUACCCCAGACUCGUGCCUUUUACUUAGAGAGGAAUUCUAAGUACAGGCACAAACAUGAUGUGCAGUGUGACACUGUUUAUUUGCAAAGUGAGGAAAAUACACAGACACUUGUGGGCUUUAUUUAGGGAGAGUGGACUGAGAAAGGUAAAGGGGAUUUUCAUAUCCUGCUCACUCUGGGUCCAUGAGGAGAGGAGAGAGAGCACGUCUGCUUUAUCCAGUGUCUUAUGAGCUUAGAAAAAUGGAAGUGUUCACAUGACACCACCCCGGGUCCUGGGUAAGGCGAAGUACUUCCUGGGAAAGGAGACAUCUGAUUGACAGAUAGGUGGAUAUGGUAACAUGGAGCGGGGGAGGUGUGGCUUCCAGCUUCUGAGCUUUAUCUGUCCGACUUAUCCAUUAUCGAGGGCACAUUGUAGUGUUGCCCAACUCAUUGUCAUGUGUGUCUGUCUUUUGAAAUCCUUUCGCUCACAAGGUUGUCUUUGGUUUUUAGAAAAUGCAUCCUUCUAGUAUCCUUACACUCCGGUCACAAUCCCUUAGCUAACCACCUUGCUUGUGUUUUUUCUUUGUUUUUCAUUUGGAUUGCCUCAGAAACCAGGCGUUGCACUUAGCACUGAAGAAAGAGCUAGUGAUGAGUGAUCGAUGUCUGGCUGUGUGAACGUCCUGGGUGAUUUGUACCAUACACUUCUGAGUUAGUGAUUGACUAAGGAGGAUUUGGAAUUUAGACCUGUCUUGUUUAACCGGUCUUAAACACUUUUGGAAUCAGAGAUGCAGAGCGAAUCAGUAACUUGCCCAGGUUUUCGGAUAGAAUCUGUUUUCAGAAGUCCAUCAGAUUUCCUUCCAUGCAUCUUGAGAAUUCUACAUUUAACUGGACGGAGACACUUGUUCUGUUUUGGUAGCAAUUGCUGUGAGAAUCAUCCAUGUACCACAGGAACGAUUCUGACUGCCUAGAAAGCUGGCCAGGUGUAUAACCUAUUAUCAGUGUGUAGUAUGAACUGUGUCUUAGUAGCUUACAUAGUCACUUAAGGCAAUAGGUUUCAGCUGUGAAAAAGCAGCGACGAUUUUGAUAUUUGGCAUUCAGAAUAUCUAUAACUUCUUUAAUAGAAACCACAGAAAUUACCAUGGGGAGACUUGUUGCUGAGAGUGGCUGCUGUCAUUCUCCGCUGGGAAACUGUAGUGUGGAGAAGUGCGAUUUGUCUGUUCCCUAGCGGUGUGUACAGGUGAGGAGAAGGUGAGACACUUAGCACUGAAGGCCAGUCGGGGAUUCCAGCUGAGCAGUUUUACUUUGAUUGGCGGUCAGCCUCUUGCCCGUUUCUUUGUUUCCUCUUCCUUGUUUUGACAAGAUCUAAAAGGAGUAGAAGAUUGAGUGUUGGCAUUUCUUCUUCCCCUUGGCCCUGAACAAAGGUGGGAAUGUUCUUUCUUGAGAAGAAAUUUUUUUUUUUUAAUUGGGACGGAGAUAAUGGGCUUCUUUGUAAAAGACAUUUCCAGGUAGGAGAACAUAAGUGAUGUUAUCUGUUUCUCUGGUAGGACCAUUGCUGGGCUUUUUUUUUUCCCCCACUUGAAUUGACUUAGGACAGGCAAAAUUCCUGGAAUUUGAGCGCCAUUGCAGAAGACUUGAUAGUUCUCAGGUGUGCUUUUUGAUUCUCUCUCAAGGAAUAAAACAGCACUGUCUGGUGUCUUGGCAGGCUUGUGAAUUUAAUUAGUAAAUGCACUCUUACGUCAAACUGUGGAACUCUUUUUUAAAAGUAAGAGCAAUGUGUGAUCUUGAAAAACAACAAAUUGCAUUUGUUAUGUAUAUAUCAUUUCUAAGUGUAGAUGAGCUAGAUAAUUAUUUGAAAUAGCCCAUUUCUAACAUCCUUGCUCUGAAAACCUUUGAGGUGUGCUCUUUAUGUUAUCCAGUUGAAUUAUUUGUUGUUUCUAAUUUCUCCUUGCAAGCUGUAAGCAGCUCUUUCCAAGAUUCUAGACUAAAAUGCAGCUAUCAUCCACAGUCAUAAAAGUCACCUGUUGUGAAUUACUGCCUUAUCAAGCACCGUAAGAAUGCAGAAGCAGGUGGGUGAAUUGUGCUUGCUCUGAUUUUAUCACUGUUGUCUUUGGAUAAAGUUAGUGGACUACUGAGUGUGCCUGAAGUGGUGCUUGCCUUUGCUAUACAUACAAAUUACAAUUAAUAAAAGGUAGGUAACACAGAAAGCAUUCUAAAGUUGAAGAUUGGGCUUAUGGGCUGGCACGGUGGUGUAGUGGUAUAGUGGGUGAAGCCACCACCUGGGGCGCCUGCAUCCUAUAUGUCCCAGCUGCUCCUCUUCCGAUCCAGCUCCCUGCUAAUGCUCCUGGGAAAGCAGUGGAAGAUGACCCAAGUGCUUGGGCCCCUGCACCUGUGUGGGAGACCUGGAAGGAGCUCCUGGCUCCUGGCUCCAGAUCUGCCCAGCUCCAGCCGUUGCCACCAUUUGGAGAGUGAAUCUUGCAUUUCUCUCUCUCUCUCUCCCUCUCUCCUUCUUUCUUUGUAACUCUUUCAAAUAAAUAAAUAUUUUUAAAAAAUUGGGCUUAUAUAGAAUUAAGAAAAUGCUCAUUGGCAAGACAAAUCAGGAUAUUGUUGAAUGACCAGAUCGGGUGGAUGAACAGUUAAAGAGACAGUUCCAUGUAAUGUGCUGGGUAGGAGUGUGUGUAAAACCUUACUACCACCUGGGAUCCUGAGUUCACAGAGUUUGGGAAGAAAGGACUAAAAUGUAUGCUGGUACUUUGUAUUUUAUGCUGAAGAGAUCUUAUUUAUCAUGGUGGUUAAGAAUAUGAGAGAGAAAAUGAGAGAGAGAGAGAGAGAGAAAUGGAUUGCAUCCACUGGCUCCCUUCUGAAACGGCAGUAACAGCUUGAGCUAAGCCAGGCCAGAGCCAGGAGGCUGGCACUCCAUCUAGGUCUCCCUCCUGGGUAGCAGGGCCUCAAGCACUUGAUCCCAGAUGCAUCAGGAGGAGCUGGACCAGAAGUCCGGCAGCCGGGCCUCUAGCAGGCCGCGACUUGGACCUGCUGUGCCACAGUGCCAGCCCCUGGGCAAGAUUCUUACUCUGUCUGAAUUCAUUUCAUCUGUCAGAUGAGAACACUGAGAGGAGCUACCUCGCAGGACUCCUGUGGGCUUGAGGAGGAUUCUUUCCAACAGAUGGCUUCUAGGGUUGGGCACUCUUGGAUCCAUUACUUGAAUAUGCAUAGUUGGCUCCAUUGUGUUAAGGGCUUGAGUAGAGCCGGGAAUGAGAGAUUGUAAACAAAAAAUACAAUUUGUUUAUAUACAUUUUUACUUCAAAACAUUAGGAUAGUAGGGGCCGGCCCUGUGGUGUACUAGGUUAAUCUUCCACCUGCGGUGCCGGCAUCCCAUAUGGGUGCUGGUUCUAGUCCCAGCUGCUCCACUUCCAAUCCAGCUCUCUGCUAUGGCCUGGGAAAGCAGUAGAAGAUGGCCCAAGUCCUUGGGCCCCUGCACCCGCAUGGGAGACCUGGAAGAAGCUCCUGGCUUCGGAUCAGCGCAGCUCUGUCCAUCGCGGCCACUUGGGGAGUGAACCAAUGGAAGGAAGACCUUUCUCUCUGUCUCUCUCUCACUGUCUGUAAUUCUACCUGUCAAAUAAAUAAAUCUUAAAAAAAUUAAAUAUAAAAAAUUUAGGAUAGCUUAGAAUAGUGUCUUACAGAGUAGCUUCAGAUAUGUUACUAUUAUUAAUAAUAUGCACAUUUCUCUUUGAACUGUAAUGGUAAAACCAUAAAAUUGCUAUUGUCCAUUUUUUAAAAAGAUUGAUUUAUUUGAAAUGCAGAAUUACAGAGAGGUAGGGAGGAAGAGAGGGAAGCAGAGAAAGAGAGAGAGAAAGAGAAAGGACACUUGGUCUACUCCCCAAAUGGCUGCAACUGCCAGUGCUGGGCCAGGCCGAAGCCAGGAGCCAGUAGUGUCAUCUCGUCUCCCACGUGGUAUAGGGGCCCAAGCAUUUGGGCCAUCCUCUGUUGCUUUCCCAGGUCAUACUGGUGCCCACGUGGGAUGGCAGCACUGCAGGUGGUGGCUUUACCUGCUAUGCCACAGCGCUGGCCUCCCCUGUUGUACAUUUUUAUAAAUGAAGCUCAGAGACAUUUCUUUUUAGGUAAGCUGAGAUUCAAAUCUAAGCUUCAGAUAACCAAGUCAGGGUAUUCCUGAUAUACUCCCAUACAGCAUUUAUCUGUUUGCCUAAAAGAAAUAACAAAUACUUAACAUUUGUUCAUUCCAGAAAUGUAAGUUGGAGUUCACUGUAAUCACUAAGACACUAAGAUGCUUUGUGUUAGCGUUUUCGCUGUAGCUGAUUUAUGGCAUUCUUGUUUGGUUAUGUUGCUUUUAAAUAGCCAUAAAGCUAACCUGAGACAAAACCAUGAUUUUUACAACCUAUCUGAAAAAUAAAAAUCCUGGUAUCCUUGUGCCCUCUAAUACCAUAUUAUUAGCAAGUACAGUGAUUAGAUGCCUUUUUUUUUUUUAAAGAUUUAUUUGUUGAUUUUAAAAAAUGAGAGUUACUAAGAGUAGAGGAAGACAGGGGUCUUCCAUCUGCUGGUGCGACCCCAAAUUGCUGCAGUGGCCAGAGCUGGGCCAGUCUGAAGCCAGGAGCCAGGAGCCAGGAGCCAGGAGCUCCCUUGGAGUCUUCCACGUGGGUGGGGGCCCAAGCACUUGGGCCAUCCUUCGGUGCUUUCCCAGGCACAUCAGCAGGGAGCUGGAUCAGAAGUGGAGCAUCCAGGACUCAAACCUACGUCCAUGUGGGAUGUCAGUGCCACAGCCUGUGGCUUUACCUGCUAUGCCACUGCACUAACCCCAGAUACUGUUUUUUUUUUUUUUUAAAGUUUGUAAAUUUUUAUUUUUUUGAAAGGCAGAACUGGAGAGGGGUAAGGGAGGAGGGGAGAGAUUUUUCAUCUGCUGGCUUCCUCUCCAAAUGCCUGCAACAGCCAGGGGCCUAAUCCAAGAACCAAAAGCUUCCUCCUGUCUCCUGUGUGCAUGGCAGAAACUCAGGUAGCUGAGCUGUCCCCUGCUGCCUCUGUGGAAGCGGAGGUGGGAUUCAGUCCUAGACACUCUGACUUGGGGUUAAGAAUGUCCUCAUUGGCAACUCAACCUGAUGUGCCACAGUGCUCAUCUUGGUAGUUACGCACUUAAAUAGGUUUGUAAAAAUUUAUGUGGAAGUCAGAGUUAGUUAGACACACAGACACACACACAGAGAUCUUCCAUCUCACUUCCCCAAUGUCUGCAACAGCUGGGGCUGGACCAGGCCAAAGCCAGGAGACUGGAACUCUGUACUGGUCUCUCACCUGGGUGGCAGGGGCCCAAGUACUUGGGCUGUCUUCCGGCAGCAUUCCCAGGCACUUUAGCAUGGAGCCGAGUUGGAAGUGGAGCAGCUGGGAUUCCAACCAGCAUGCAUAUCUGGUGACUGUGUUGCUGGCAGCAGCUUAACCCCGUGAGCCAUGACACUGGCUCCUACGUAGGUGUUUUUGACGAGGGAGCCAACUGCGUGUGAUGGGAGUUCAGCGAUUCCUUCCACUGUUUCCUAUUUCUGAGUUUGCCAAACCCACCUCGUGUAAGACUGACUUGUGGGGAAGAGGUUGUGAAAAACAGGAGAUUCCUGUUUCUAGAUCCAGUGAUUAGGGCAACCAGAGGGGACCUCAGAAGUAUCUGUUAGCUAAGAAGCGUGAUGCCAGUGCUAGUUCUCUCGCGUGGUGUAUGCCUGGUCGUCGGCUGGUCAGGGUUCCGAGGGCAGUUGUGUCUCUGCACAAGGGAGGGGCUGCACGGCCCGUGCACGUCAGUAAACACGGGCAGACGCCAGUACCGUGAGGGCAGGACUGCAGCUGUGCCCUUCGUCAGGAUCUGCUGGUUAUGCCUGAGUGAGUCUGAAGGAAACUGCUCGUGAUGGCCUGGAGGGUGGAGCCCUUCACCGGGCUUGAGGAAAAGCCAACCAUCAGCUUCGUUACUAAGCAGCUGGGAGAGGAGGAGCGUUGAUGUUUUCACCUACUAUCGCUAGUACUUCUGAACUGUGUAAUUAUUGUGUUCUUGCUGUUCUGGUUAGCUGGGGUGAGUGAAAAAGACAUUUCACAAGCCUACAAGUUUUGAUGCACUUGUUAUCUAUUUGUGAAAAGAAAUUAUUUACUGAGUUCAUUCUUAAGGAUGGGUAGAAAACUUAGGAGACAAUAACUUUAUUAUUUUAAAAUUUUUAUUUAAUUUGGAAAGGGAAGGGGGAAAAGCAUGCAAGCAUUCUCUCUCAUUUGCUGGUUCACUCCCCAAAUCCCUGGAAUGGCUAGGACUGGAUCAGGUUAAAGUUAGGUACCAGGAACGGUCUAGAUCACCCACAUGAGUGACAGGGACCCAAGUAUGUGAGCCAUUACUCCUGCCUCCUGAGUUUGCAUUGGCAGGAAGCUGGACUUGAACCCAGGCACUCUGGUAGGGGAUGGGCAUUCUGCUUGCUGGCUUGACUGAUGCACCAAACGCCUGCCCCAGGCCACAGUGCAUUUAAUUUUUCUAUUGCCAGAGUUUUCCUUAUCCAUCAGAACUUCAGGUUUUUCAUUCAGAAUUUUAAAAAGACCCCCAACACACCUCUGCGGCCUGAGUUUCUUUGCUGAGCAAGGAAUUGCCCUUCUCUUGUGACAGGCCCUGGAGCAAUGCGAGUGAUUCCACCUCUUCUGCUGUUGUAGCAGUGGCAGGAGCGUAUUGUUUAAAGAGUUCAUUGGGGCCGAUGCUGUGGUGCCGCGGUUAAAGCCCUGGCCUGCAGCACCGGCUCCAGUCCCAGCUGCCACACUUCUGAUCCAGCUCUCUGCUGUGGCCUGGGAAAACGACAGAAGAUGGCCCAAGUCCUUGGGCCCCUGCACCUGUGUGGGAGACCUGGAAGAAGCUCCUGGUUCCUGGCUUCAGAUCAGCUCAGCUCUGGCCAUUGUGGCCAUUUGGGGAGUGAACCAGCAGAUGGAAGACCUCUCUCUGGUUCUGCCUCUCUCUGGCUCUACUCUCUCUAUAACUCUUUCAACUAAAUAAAAUAAAUCUUUAAAGAAAAAUAAGGAGGUCAUUUCCCCCAGUUGGACUGUUUAAAGAGACUUGCUUUAUUUGGCUUUUUAGGGUUGAGUUAUUUUCUUCUUCAAGGAGACAAAUAUUAACUAGGAGGUUUCGGUGAUUAUUUUCUUCCCUUAAGCAGGUCUGCAUUUGUUUUUUUUUGCCAAAAGUAAGAAGAAGGAAAAUUUCUGCUGUUCUCCUCCAGCUAGCUGCGCCCUCCACCCAGUGAUGAAUUCCAGGGACUGCAGUUCAGGGGUCUUCUACCUUUCAUUGCUCUGCUGAUGUGGGAAACAGUCACUACUUAGCCGUGUGUUCUGCUAACGUGGGAAACAGUCACUACUUAGCCGGAAACAGAGAUGCAAGCUGCAGUGGAGUGAAGCAGAAAGGAACACGUGCUCCUUUCCUUUGGGUCUGGAAGGAUUUACUGUCCGGUUGAUCUCCGGUCCUCCCUCGGGCAGUGCUUGAACCGUCCUUGUCUGGAAUAUUUAAAAGGUUACCAGAGGUUGUUCAAUCAUUUCCUAACCAAAUCUCCCUGUUUUUAAGUAGCUGACACUUGUCAUUUGCGAAGUUCCCUUUUGAACCUUGUGUGCAAGUGUUCUUUGUGGGGCGGCCUAAGUAAGUGAUUACCAAGAACAGGCCUUGCUCACUCAAUCAGGAGAGCAUCCGAGUAUCUUAAAUCACACAAAUAAGUCUUUUUAAUUCAUCAAUUUGUGCAAUACUAAUUGAACUUUAGUGUGAAAGAUGAAAUUUUUAAAGUUUUAUUUAUUUAUUUGAAAGUCAGAGUUACACAGAGAGAAGGAGAGGCAGAGAGAGAGAGAGAGAGAGAGAGAGAGAGAGAGAAGGGUCUUCCAUCCACUGAUUCACUCCCCAAUUGGCCGCAACGGCUGGAGCUGCACCGAUCUGGAGCCAGGAGCCUCUUCCAGGUCCCCCAUGUGGGUGCAGGGGCCCAAGGACUUGACCCAUCUUCUGCUUUCCCAGGCCACAGCAGAGUGCUGGAUCGGAAGUGGAGCAGCCAGGACUGGAACUGGCGCCCAUAUGGGAUGCCGGCACUACAGAUGGUGGCUUUACCGCUAUACCACAGCGCCAGCCCCAAAAGAUGAAAUUUUACUAGUAGUAUUUGACAAAUUGGACAAUAACAAUAUUGUUUAAGUAAGUACUGGUGGUCACUUACUGGAACUGGAAGGAACCAAAAAUUAUAAUUGGCUGCCUUGCUAGAAGCUCUUACUCAAGUUUCUAUGUUAUUUGGUUUUUUUGGAGUUUAGCUAAUUCCUUUUUUCCCUUACAUUUAAAACAACAGCCAUAACUGUAUAAUUACCAGUGUCUUUUUAAAAAAAAAAAAAACACAAUGUUUACUGCUACUUUUUUUAAAAAAAGAUUUAUUUUUAUUUGAAAGAGUUACACAGAGAGAGGAGAAAGAGAGAGAGAGAGAGAGAGAGAGAGAGGUUUUCCAUUCACUGAUUUACUUCCCAAUUGGCCACAGUGGCCGCAGCUGAGCCGAUCCGAAGCCAGGAGCUUCUUCCGGGUCUCCCACGCGGGUGCGGGGGCCCAAGCACUUGGGCCAUCUUCUACUGCUUUCCCAGGCCACAGCAGAGGGCUGGAUUGGAAAUGAAGCAGCCGGGACUCGAAUCAGCACCCACAUGGGAUACCGGCAUUGUAGGCAGCGUCUCUACUCACUAUGCCACAGCGUCAGCCCCUACUGCUACUUUUUUAAAAAAAAUUAUUUGUUUGAAAGUCAGUGAAAAAGAGAAAAAUGGAGGGACAGAGAUCUGCCAUCAGCUGGUUCACUCUAAGAGCCUGUGUAGUGCAGGGCUGGGCCAGGCCAAAGCCGGCAGCUGGAAGCUCCAUCCAAGUCUACCAUGGAUAGCAGGAUGUCACCCACGGCCUCACAGGGUUUGCAUUAGCAGGAAGCUGGAACUGAGAGCAGAGCUGGGACGCAAGCCAGGCAUUCCAAAAUGGGAUGUGACUGCUGGUCCCAAGGCCUGCCACUGGCCACUGUUUAAGUGCUUUGUCUAUGUAUUUUACUUUGUCUUUGCAACAGCACUGCAAAAUGCAGGUGCUACCUAUAGUAUGCAGAUGUGAAAUGUAAGCCUAGGAGCUGGGAGUCACUCCCGGCGCCUCACAGCAGUUAUAGCAGCAUCAGGGUUCCAGGGCGGCCUCAGGAGUCAGCCUCCUGCUCACUCUCACCAGCUCUGUCCUUCGCGGUGCCUGUUUGCGGCAUCUCCUCCAGCCCUUCUCCUGGGUCAUGCAGCUGUUUGUGUCUUGCUUUGUUCUCCCUCCCUUUUCCAAACGAGAAUUCAUAAACUCAGAUUCUAUUGGCACCUAGGGCCAGGCAUGAUUAUUCUCCCGGGAAAAACAUUGCCUGCAUCUGUAAUGCGGAAAACUCUUUUCUUUUAAUUUUAUUUCUCAUAACGAGUUGGCCCAUAAAUAUUUCCAAGCAAGCUGAGUCUCCUGGUUCUUGUGUUGUCCAGGAGGCUGUUAGAAAGGAUAUUUCAGAAUCAAGCUUGACCACUAAAAAAUUAUUCUUGUAGCUAUUAGGACAAAUCUCAGUGCCAUCGUGUCCUCUGCUCUACAAACUCACGAUGAUCUGUUAUUUCCAAAGAAUGUGUAUGUGGUCUGUGUCAUAUCAGUGCACUCAUUUCUUUCUUUUUUAUUCUUUUAAAUUUGUUAAAAAAGAUUUAUUUUAUUUAUUUGAAAGAUAAGAGUUACAGAGAAACAGGUCUUCCACCCACUGGUUCACUCCCCAGAUGGCCGCAACAGCCAGAACUAAGCCAAUCCAAAGGCGGGAGCCAGGAGCUGCUUCCAGGUCUCCCACAUGGGUGCAGGGGCCCAAGCACUUGGCCAUCUUCUACUGUUUUCCCAGGCCAUAGCAGAGAACUGGAUUGGAAGAGGAGCAGCCAGGGCUAGAACCAGCUCCCACGUGGAUUGCCGGAACUUCAGGCCAGGGCUUUACCCUCUGCGCCACAGCGCCGGCCCCUCUUUCCUUCCUUCUCUUCCUUCUUCCUUCCUUCCUUUUUUUUUUUUUUUUUUAGAUUUAUCUUAUUUAUUUGAAAGACAGAGUUACAGAGAGAGGUCAAGAUAGAGACAGAGAGAGGUCUUCCAUCCGCUGGUUCACUCCCCAGAUGGCCACAACGGCCAGAGCUGCGCUGAUCUGAAGCCAGGAGCCAGGAGCUCCUUCCGGGUCUCCCACGUGGGUACAGGAACCCAAGGACUUGGUGUAUCUUCCACUGCUUUCCCAGGCCAUAGCAGAGAGCUGGGUAGGAAGAGGAGCAGCCAGGACUAGAACCUGCGCCCAUAUGGGAUGCGGGUGCUUUAGGCCAGGGCUUUAACCCACUGUGCCACUGCACCGGCCCCAAGUGCACUCAUUUCUUACUGUGGCUUAUCUUGCUCCUUUGUUGACGUCCUUUCUUGUGGCUUAAACCAUUUUGGCUUUUUCUUUUGAGUUGGCACAGUAUGAACAUUUGAUGAAUGGUCCUCUUCAUCAGAAGUGUGGGUGUCGUGGUGUGAACAGUGUUCUCGGUGUGUAAAGCAGCUUCCAGUUCAUACCUGGGAGCAGCUGCAUCCCUGUUCUGUGCUUAGCAAGGAGCACUAUCGUUCUGUGCAGGCAGGUGAGUCCUGUGGGAAAGUGCGAGACAGUUAGCACACAAGUAUCACCGAUUCCCUCCAACCAAGCUUGUAUUCAUCUGUAAGGGACAAGAAUCCAUUUUGACUCUUAAUAGCUAAGCAUGAAGUGUGAUACUGAGUUCAUUUAAUUGUACACCCACCUUGUUUGUAGUCUGUGGGGAGCAACUCGGACUAGACUGUUACUGGAAUUAAGACUUAUUCUAUGCAUCUGCUCUCCCACAAUAUGGCGCUGAGAAGGGAGUAACAACUUCUACGCAGCUGCCUCCAGUUCAACCAAUAAACUGUAGGACCUGCUCCUGAUUGGAGGAGAGCAGCGUACUCGGCGUGUGGGUAGCAGAGUUGGGAUUGGUGGAAGAGGACUAUAAAGGAGGAGAGAGACAACAUGCACCAGGAACAUCUAAGAGGAACACCUGUGCAGCCCCCGAGAGAGCCGGCCGGUGGUGUGCCGCUCCCCCGCGGAAGUGGGGAAAGUGGCAGGGGGAACCGCCCUUCCACGGAGGUGGAAGGGACGGUAGCCAAUCCGGGAAGAACCAGCAGCAAACCCGGGGAGGGCCGAGCAGACAAAAGAACAGCUCAGGGUCCUGUGUCGUUCCUCCGUGAGGAGGGGGAGCGACAGUAGUCAAACCAGAUUAUGCCAUCAAGAAGUGAUCAUCGCUCGGCGACACCUUAGCAUCUGAGUUGUGCAUAGUCUUUAGCACAGGCUGUGAUUGUGCCAGGUAUAGCACAGACAAUGCGUAUGUGCUCUCACUUGGGAUUUCUCCUUUAUGACUGCUCCUUUUACUGACGGGUGCUCCCCUAUGAUACUCCCGUCAGUAACUGACAGCGGUGCUUCUAUUGGAAAUGUUAAUAAUGGCUAGUGUGUAGGAAAAGCCAGGCACCGUGCUCUGCACUUCUGUGCUUUUUCAUACUUGGUUCUCUCCCAAACCAGAUGAGGGACACACCACUUUCUUUUUUUCAGAUGACGGGAGUUGGUAUACUUGCCCAGUGUCACACAGAUGGCAGAUGCUUAGAACCAAGCCUCAGACACAUCUCUUCUGAUUAUAAAUUCUCCCGCAUCACAGGAAUGCCCUUGACAAUCUUUGAUAAAUGAAAAAAAAUCUGUGGCCACAUUUUUGUUUGAUUUAUUUCAACAGUAAACAUGUAAGGAAAGUCUACUUGAAGUCCACCGCGUUGGACCGGUGUUGUAUAUUGGGUUGAGUUGCUGCCUGCAGCGCUGGCAUCCCCUGUGGGCUGCUGAUCCAAGUCCCAGCUGCUGUAGUUCUGAUCCAGCUCCCUGCUAAUGUGCCUAGGAAAGCAGUGUGGGAUGGCCCAGGUCCUUGGGCACCUGUACCCUUGUGGGACACUCUUGGCUCCUGGCUUCUGCUUGGCCCAGCCCUGGCUAUUGUGGCUGUUUGGGGAGUGAGCCAGCAGAUGGAAGAUCCCCCCUCCCGUAGCUCUUCCUUUUAAAUAAGUAUUUUUUUUAAAAAUCCACUGCAUGGCCACCCACAGAGGUUAGACUACAGUCAGGUGUAUAUUUUUAAUAGGAUAUGCAGUUUAUCUUUUUCUGUAUGUUGGAUUAUACACAGUUAUGCUUGAAUUUCAAUUUUUUUUUGCACCAAAAUAAACUUGUCUUGUAAUUCCAUCUUCAGUGAGCUCUUUGAAGUGUGCUCCUAAGGACGUACACCUGCGCCUUGUGCUGUACAGCAAUGACUUCUGAGAAGCGGGCUUGAUUUCAGUGAACUUGCAAUGCACGUUCUGUGCUCUGCAUGCCGUCCUGUCCAUCAUCCUUUCCCCUUCUUUUUCAUAAUGAAUUUUUCUGAGUCCCAGGCAGAAAAUCAUAUUAAAGUGGAGUUUACUUACGUUAAGGUUUAAAAGGUAAGAACUGCAAUGGUUUCUGCUGUAAUUUGGCCUCUGUUGUGUUUUCAAUCUUCUGCUAAUUCCUUGUGAUCAGAUGUUUUAAUACUAAUUAGAAAUUAAAGUUCUUUGUUUCUUUUUUUAAAAAGGAUUACUUUAAAUACUUAUUUACUUGAAAGACAGGGGUGAGGAGGGAGAGAGAGAUUGAGAUUGAGAUCUUCCAUCUGCUGGUUUGCUGCCCAGAUGGCUGCAACAGCUGGGGCGGGGCCAGGAUGAAGUCAGGAGCCUGGAACUCCAUCCGGGUCUCCCACAUGGGCAGCCUGGGUCCAGGCACAUGGGCCAUUAGCAGGGAACUGGAUCAUAAGUGGAGCAACCAGGACUCGCACUGGCACUCAUAAUAGGAUGCUGGCUUUGCAAGUGGAGGCUGAACCUGCUGCACCACAAUGCUGGGCACGCGGUGAGAGUUCUUUACAGUGAUGGCUUAUGAGUAAAUAGGAUUUGAAUGCUUUCAUUUGAAGAUAAUGUGUGAGCUUACGUGGGAGAGAAAAGGAUCAGCUUGAAUGAGGACAUUUUUAAAUGUGUGUGACUAAAACGAUCCUGGAUAUAAUCAUACAGAAAGAGAUUCUAAAUAUUUUGAGAAAUAUGUACGAGUUUGUUUCAGGAGUUGAAAAUAUUGAUUAAAAACCGAUAGCAACGUUGAAUUUCAUGAUGAGUUUUCUUCUGUGAUUCGGGUUUCAGAAAGCCAGUGAUUAGAAGGCAUCUUACUUGUAUUUGGGAGUAGUUUUAGGAAUAGCAAAUCAUGUUUUCUGAACAUUGCGUAUGUGUAAUUUUUAUCUCCCUUGUAACUUUUCUUUCUACAAAAGAGCUCUUUGAGUUAAAGAAACAAUUUAGAUUGUGACAGCAGUUGUGGUAAUUUGCAGUCACAGCGCACAUAAUUCCUUAUCUUCAUACAGGUUGAAUUAGGCUCCUGCUGUGGUCAGUUGGGUAAAUAAAUAGAAAAUGGUGGUGCCUUUCAAGAAUCAAAUGGUUGCUUGAUAGACUUUUCUUUUGAGAGCCAUUUGAUUUAGAUCAUCUGCCAGAUACGUGAGUGUAAAGCAGUACAAGCUCUGAAGGGAAAAGUCUUCAGAACCCAGCAUGCAGAGGCAAACCUUAGCUUCGGCUCCCGUGUGCUGACACAUUUUUAAAUUUAUUAAAAAUCUGGGAAUUCUUACUGAAAAAACUCACUUAUGAUAACUCUCAUAAUUGUUACUUGAACCUAAUUUUUGACCUCCAGGGAAGCGUACCUUUCACUCUUUACACUUAGAAUUCAGGUUUGGUGUCCGUAUUAAUGCGUGCAGAUGGUAAAGCCUACUUGGGGCCUGCCCACAUCUGCACCCGAGUCUCCACAGCACAGUCCUGUGUGUUGAGCGUGCUUUUGCCACCAUUGUUCACAUGGCACUGGUUCUCAGGGUAAUUUGUCCCCAGGUGGGAAGCAUACCGGUGGCAGAGUUGUCGAUCUUAGCUCAGCCUGGCUCUGGAGCCCAGUCUCUCAUCUACUGUGCUGGCCCACAAGGUUAUUAAAAGACAGCUUUCAGGAGUUGCAUUUGUUAUGUUUGUUAAUGCCCUCUCCCUCAUUAAAUUACACGGGAAAAAAGAGGGGGACUGUAAUUUAGAAUCUUGCUAUUGCUUGCUGCUACACACUUAGAAAUACCUGUUGUAAGUAGGAAUCAUCUCUAAUGGUGACUGUUUAUUGCUUGCUGGGCUAUUUAAGGACUCCCUCCCCGCCCCAAUUUUGAACGAUACUCUUCCAGGAAAGAGAAGUACUAAGUCAUUAUCCCUACUGAAACACAGGCAUGCUGGAAGUAAAUGGUUUAGUUAUUUUACUUACUCAGUGAGAAUGGUUUUUCUAUGGCAAUAAUUUUGUGUAUGAUCAUUUUACUUAUUUUAUAGAUUUAUAACAUGGUGGCAACUGUGAAAGAAUCAGUGCCCCCCCCCCCCGCCCCCAUUAACAUUCCGUUAGCUCUUCACAUGAGAGACAGUCAUAGAGGCAUCACUGGGAGGUGUCGACAUUGAGUGUUGAGUGAGCACUCUGUCUUGAUGGAGAGUUCUGUGUGGGGGCUGGCUUUAUUUUUGAGGGGUCAAACUGGUUGUUUAUGAGACAGAAUAAAGCAAAUAAGAAAAGGCUCAAUGAAAAUGCAAGUCCCUAUUUCUUAACACUAUUGCAGAAAGUCAUCUGGGCCUGCAUGUGAAGACAAAAGUGGGAGCUAAGACACGUCAAGAAAAGUUGAUGUUUCGUUAAUAGAUUUAAGUAAUUGGGUGAGAAUACAAUCGAGUCACCUUUUCCAGUGCAUUGAAGAGUUAUAUCGAUUGACCUGACACGUUCGAAUCAAGGGCUUACUCUGUGCUGGAGGCUGGAGAGUUCUUUAAAAUGUUUUUUUGCUUAUUUCUUCUGUAAUUUUUAAAUUAUUUUUUUCCUCCUACUAAUUUUGGUUUGGUUUGUUGUUUUUUUCUUUAAGUUUGUUUAUUUAUUUGAAAAACAGAGAUGGGGGGAGAGAGAGAGGGAGAGAGAGAGAGACACCUUCCAUCUGUUUGUUCAUCCCUCAAACGGCCAGGUCCAGGCCAGGAGUCAGGAGCUUCUUCUGGAUCUCCCACGUUGGUUCUGGGGCCUGGGUACUUGGGCCAUCGUCCUCUGCUUUUCCCAGGUGCAUUAGCAGGGAGCUGGGUUGGAAGUGAAACAGCCAGGACUGGAACCAGCCUCUGUAUCGGAUGCCGGCAUUGGAGGCUUAACCGUCUAUGCCAUAGUGCCAGCCCUGGCUGUAUGCUUUUAACAGAUGCCAAGAAAGCUUAUUAAAGCAUCAGAGAGGUUCUGGAAAACAAGGGCACAUGUUGCAGUAGUGGAUUCAUGAGCGGCACCCAGAUGAGUGUGGAGAAUUAGUAGUACACAGAUAAAGUGAGCAAAGUUGAAUCCUGGCUGUGAUGGCUGCCAGGUAUCUUUAGUAUAGCUAGUAUUGCGUUGGUUUGUUGUCAGGAAUAGAGUACUUUAUAAUGUCUUAAUAAAUGACUCUAGGUGUCAACACACACACACACACACCUCCACUCAAACACCCACAGACCUAAACUUAUUUUUCAAAAGUGAUAUGCUAGGACUUGUUUUAUUCCUAAAUUGUUACCUCUGAACAUGAUCUUAAUUCUGGAAGGUGCUUGUUGAAACCACCUUCAGGACUAAUUGUGAGGUUUCAUGAGGUACGGAUGUAGUGUGCAUUUCCUGGCUAGAUAACCAUCCCACACAUCACCACUGAUCGUUUUCCAUUUGCCUCUCCCCUUGUUACAAAGGAGCAAGGAGGAGGAGCGUGGGGGAAACGUGAAUGACUGAGACAGUGAGGAUGAAUCUGGACGAGAAGCGUGAAUAGGAGAGCAUCUCUCCUGGAGAUGUGAGCGUCUGCCGUGGCAGAUACAGUCACCCAGCGCGUGUGUGUAACAGUUUAAACGCUGACUUAGGUGUCUUUCCCUGUGGUGGUUGUUGGAUGUAAACGAUCGACAUUUGGGAUCGGUAUGGGAAGUAGGGAUCAAGAACAGCCAGCACAAUGUCUGGCACGUUGCAAGAAGCUGUCACUUCAUACUACAGAGCGGUACCACACCAUGAAUAGUUUGAACAAUAGUUUGAAGCAACAGGUUUGGAACCAGUAUUUUACUGUGCUAGUUAAUAUUACUAAGAAUGACAUCUCUACAAAAGUAAUAGAUUGAACCCAGUAUCAGAACAGUAAAGUGAAUGGCAGAAUCAUAAAUGCAGGUGUUUACUCAUUUUAUGAGUUAGUCCAGUUUUCUCUUUUUGUAUUCAUCUUAAGACAAGCAAAGUUCAGAGUACUGCAAGCAUGCAAGAUGGGACAGACACGACUAUGAAUUCCUUCCAAAAAUCUUUAAUAUAAUUUGACCUUGAAAUAUGUAAUACUGGAAUAUAUUCUGCAAACUUAAAAAAAACACUCAUACAAAGAGCCUUCUAUAUUUCUUGACUUUUUUUUUUUCCCUUUUGGGGGGAAAGGGAAAAGGUCUGCGGGAUAAGUUUAUUUAAUAUGACAUCAGUUGAAUAAAGCCAGCUGUGAGUAAUUAUCGCUGAUAUUUGAUUUCCAGCUGUUUUGUUGAACUGUUAGUGGUUCUCAAGGUAUUUGGAUAUUAAUUAAAUGAUGACUCAGUGUAAAGAAGUUCUAUUUAAAGUAGUGGUGCAUCAAAUAGAAUGUUAAAUUUCCCACCUGCUACAGACUUUGAAUUCUUUCUGCUGUAUCUGUUCCUUUUAAAUUUUUUUUUAAAGGUUUAUUCAUUUAUCUGAGAGCAAGAGUUACAGAGAGAGGGAGAGACAGAGAAAGAUCUUCCAUCCGCUGGUUUACUUCCCAGGUGGCCGCAAUGGCCAGAGCCUGGCCUAUCCAAAGCGAGGAGACAGGCGCUUCCUCUGGGUCUCCCAUGCCAGUGCAAGGGCCCAAGCCAUAUUUUGCUUUCCCAGGCCAUAGCAGAGAGCUGAAUCAGAAAUGGAGCAGCCGGGACUCAAACCAGCACCUGUAUGGGAUGCCGGCACUGCAGGUGUCGGCUUUACCUGCUAUGCCACAAUGCCGGCCCCUCCACCAGCAUCUUAACCCCUAGGCUACUUGCUUGCCCCAAGAUCAGAUGAUUUCUGGCAAUGAUUUUCCAUAUAUGAAAUCUAUAUAUAACACAGAAAGAGAAUUAAAAGAAUAUUCUGUUUGCCUAAAGGCUUCUGAAGUCAGUUUAUCAGUAGUGAGCAAUUCAUAUCAGAUUGAAUUUUGAACAUCAAAUUCUGCACACAAUUUGAAAAGAAAUCACAGAGGAUAGAAGAAAAAUACAAGAUAAUUAAAGAAUGAAAUAAGAAGUUAGGAAAUAGAAACUGGUCGAAUGUGCUUCAUAGCCUUAUGGAAAGAGCAAAGGCAUAAAUCAAACCAAGCAAACCCGCAGACACGCGGGCAGCGAGGCUGGGUGGUGCUUGUGGGUCUGCAGUGCUAAGUACUGAGCAGACCUGCCGGGUUAGUCUCUCUGGGCUUCACCGUCAGAAUGGAGAAGUUAGCGUGGUUCCCCCCGUCCACCUCUCUGUCACACAAGUUCCCGAAUGGAGUGCUUGUAGACGUUUUCCAGGGGUUAUGAGGAGCAAAAGCAGGUGCAGGAAUGUGGUCCCUCUCUGGGAGCGCAGUCUUUAACAGUGGUAUCUGUAUUGUCUUGUUCCCCCAGAUGUUUCAUACGUACAAUCAGAAAUUCCAACAAUGAGAAAGGAACAUGUGACAAAUUCCUCUUGGAUGAUGCGUGGAUGGGUGUUUAGGAGAUGAGAAUAGGGGAGAGCAGGAUAGAGUGGUUUGAAUCGGCUGUUCUGAGGAUGUGUGUUGAUGCCCCUCAGGAUGGCUUGGGUGGUCAGUGCGUGCCAGGCAGGAGGCAACGCGGUUCUUGCAAGGCAGGCGGGGAGGAUGCAGUUGACCUCAGAUGCAGGCUGGGAAGAGCACUGGGUGCCUGUGUGGCAGUUGCGAUUUGGUGCUCAGUGGAAGUGUUUCAGCAGGCGAGGGGAACAGCCUAGAAACCUGCUUGGGUCCUUUACUUUUGCUUGCAUAAUAAGUGAUGAAAAUGGAGAAGGCCCUGGACUUGUCCCUGCUAUUGAAAAUAAAAUGAGCCGGCGCCGCGGCUCACCAGGCUAAUCCUCCACCUUGCGGUGCCAGCACACCGGGUUCUAGUCACGGUCGGGGCACUGGAUUCUGUCCUGGUUGCCCCUCUUCCAGGCCAGCUCUCUGCUAUGGCCCGGGAGUGCAGUGGAGGAUGGCCCAAGUGCUUGGACCCUGCACCCCAUGGGAGACCAGGAGAAGCACCUGGCUCCUGCCAUCGGAUCAGCACGGUGUGCUGGCCGCGGCAGCCAUUGGAGGGUGAACCAACGGCAAAGGAAGACCUUUCUCUCUGUCUCUCUCUCUCACUGUCCACUCUGCCGGUCAAAUAAAUAAAUAAAUAAAUAAAAUGAAAACUCUAAGACUUAACAGGAUUUUUCAAAAAACCUAAUUAAACGUGUGAAAGAAAAGAGUUGCAGCAAGUAGCAGCCAAGUUGAGCGUGACUCCUGGGGAGGCUUCCUUGCAGGAGGGGCCGCUGUGUCUGAAGCGUAUGGCGUGCAUCUGGCACCAUGUGAAGAGGUGCUGCAGCAGGCUCUGGGGGCGCAGCUCAGCUGGUGAUGGCGAGGGCUUGGAAGUCAUCUGUGUAGGCUGAGAAGAGAGACAGUCCUGUGGGACGAGGUCUUGAGAAGAUACCCGGGGCACAGAGCCCUGCGUAGCCUUCAGAGCUGUGUGCUCAGGCCUGGGGAGACCCGGGGAAGGGCUGUCCAAAGGCAGCACUGCCCCCUUCCCGAUGUUUUGUCUUCCCUUCCCUUUUGUGUUUCUUUUUUCCUUGUUUGUCAUCAUUUAAUGUCUUCAAUGCGUUAUUUAAUCUUGCUUGUCUGACUAGACGGUCAUAUCCGCAAAGAUAGGGAUUUUGGUCUGUUUUAUAUGCUGUUGCAUUCUUAGCAAUUUACAGUAAUGCUUGAAGCUUUUCGUGGCUCAGGGGGAGAAAAAUAUUAAUUUGAUUUAAAAAAGAUCAUUGGUGAUCUUGGAGAAAGAUGUGUCAGUAAACUUAGGGGCAAAGGUCACAUUUCCUGAGGUUAUACAACAACUAGAUAGCUGUGAAAAGUGGGACAGUGGAGCUGCACCUGUCAUUCCAGAAUGCCGGCCAAGGAGCAGAACCCUGGCUGCAGAGGACGUGGGAGGGACCAAGUGAAGGCUUUCCAAAGCAGGACACUUGUGUGCUUGUAGGAUUGGAAAUGAUGCAGAGGGCGCAGUGUAGUAGUUCAGAAAUCCAAGUGUAGGUUGUUAUUUUACUUGCAAUUCUGUUUACUUGAAUGGCUUACUAAUUUCAAAAAAGACAUUCAAAAAGGGGAUGAAGAGGGGAAAUACUGCUUCUGGUUUUUUCACCCCUGUUUUUAGUUUGUAAAAAUUUAAUUUUUGCUCAGGAUACUAAUAGUAAAGGCAGAAUAAGUAUUUUCAGGGACAAAAGGGUGAGAAGGAGUUUACUAGACUAUCAGACUUGUUUUUGCACUGAGUCUUCAACUCAAAAGAUAAUUGGUCCCCUUGGGCAAUACCCAUACCUAAAUAUUUGGUGGAAUUCUCACUGGCAUGAUAAAGCAAGGGUUCGUAAAGGUUACAUGUGUACCAUUUUAAUGGUGUGCAAUACUUCCUUUCUUGAACAAAAAGGUAAAACAGUGCUCUGGUUCCAAUGAAUAAGAAAUGGGACAGAUGGUAUUUAUCUGACAUAUAGGUUAAGCUUGCAUAACCUUAUAUUAAAUGACAUGGCAGUGCAAGCAGUUUUCAAUGUGGUAGAUUUAGUUUCAUAAUUAUCAAUUGUUUUUUGAUUUGUUAAAAUUCUCCUAAACAUGAGGAUCAACAACAGUAACAAUUUUAAAAAUAAGAUGUAUUAUAUAUACAGUAUAUUAUCCAAGAACCUGAUGCCAUCGCUCAAAACAUUUUUAGGAUUUAUUCUGGGGUCUUGAUCAGAGUGGCUUAGUGAAUCCCACAAAGAAGUGAGCCUCUCUAUUUCAUGCAGUUCUAUGUUAUUUUUGAGCCUGAUUGAACUUAGAUGACAACUCAUGCACCUUAGUUCUGGGUGAAUGUUGGAUGCCCUUAAAAAAGCCAAACCUGCCCGGACAGUGUGAAGAACAUGCUUACAGGUGUUCUUGAGCACACUGACUUCACGCACACCCCAGCGGCCAGGUGUUCCUGCGCACACUGACUUCACGCACACCCCAGCGGCCAGGUGUUCUCGAGCACUCUGACUUCACGCACACCCCAGCGGCCAGGUGUUCUCGAGCACGCUGACUUCACGCACACCCCAGCGGCCAGGUGUUCUCGAGCACGCUGACUUCACGCACACCCCAGCGGCCAGGUGUUCCUGCGCACGCUGACUUCACGCACACCCCAGCGGCCAGGUGUUCUCGAGCACGCUGACUUCACGCACACCCCAGCGGCCAGGUGUUCUUGAGCACACUGACUUCACGCACACCCCAGCGGCCAGGUGUUCUUGAGCACACUGACUUCACGCACACCCCAGCGGCCAGGUGUUCCUGCGCACGCUGACUUCACGCACACCCCAGCGGCCAGGUGUUCCUGCGCACGCUGACUUCACGCACACCCCAGCGGCCAGGUGUUCUUGUGCACACUGACUUCAUGCACACCCCAGCGGCCAGGUGUUCUUGAGCACGCUGACUUCACGCACACCCCAGCGGCCAGGACCUUAGUGUGAACGGCCAGGGAAAGGCAGGAAGCGCAUCCCCCGUUUUUGCCUUUGGUUUUUCCUCUCCCCAGUUCAUCGUGUGGCUGGCAGUUGACUUUGGCAGCUGCUGGGUGCAGGGCGGGGGAAGGCAAGCCCCACCCUUGGCCUGCACAGCCGGUGGUUCUGCAGAGUGGGGUUUCCUUCCCGGGGCCUGCACGUUUUGGCAGGAGGCCUCCCUCUAUAUGGUUGUUGAGCUGUAAUAAAUUCAAGUAAGUCAAUAAACGUAUGCUUUGGAAAUGACGUCACUUCUCUAGUGCCAGAAGGGCCUGAUGUUAAAUAUAGGAUCUAAUCACGUUUCUGUGUGCACAUUAGGUGCAGAGAGCCACUUGUGAAGUGAAAGCAGGACAGGUUACAGAUAGAUUUUUCAUGUAAUACUUUGGUUGGUGUAGGUAUCCUGAGGAUCAGAGGCCAGGAGAGGAAUAGGAUAUGAAAGUUGGAUAACAGCUGGCAGCAAUGACAGAAAGCCCGAAAGCAUUUGCUGACCUUGGGGGUAACAUAGGGAAGGGACGAGAACUCAGAGUUUGGGUUCUUCCCUCUGCCAGUCUCUGUUGAAACUGCCAACUAAGUAGAAGUGGGCAUUUUUAUUAGGAAAAGUAUAAGUUGUGGUUAAGGAUUGUUUCUUCCCGAAUCCUGCUGUUUUCUACUUGAAUUUAAAGAAGUUUAUUUUUUAAUAAACACUGUCCAUGCUUUUAAUGGGCAAGCGUGUUUUGAAGUAUGUAUACAUUGUGGAAUAGCUCAAUCAGACUAACUAGCAUGCGUUACCUCGCAUACCAUUGUUUUGUGCGAAGAAUUUUCUCAGCGGUUUUUGAGAAUGCAAUGCAUAGUUGUUUACUGCAGUCAGCGUGUUGUACCACAGACUCUUGCAUUUAUUCCUGGUAUCUAACUGAAAUUUGGUAUCCUUUGACCAACAUUCGACCCCCUACCCCUACCCUGGCACCACAGCUCCAGGGGAAUAUUCUACUCUCUGCUUUUUAGAUUCCACACAUACGUGAGUGAGAUCAGUGCAGUAUUUGUCUUCCUCUGCUGGCUGUUUUGCUUAACGUGACGUCCCCAGGCUCAUCCUUAUUGUCACCAAUGACAGAAUUCCAUUCUUUCCCAGGAGCCUGUGGUAUCCCAAUCUGUGUCUGUAACCACGUUUUCUUUAUGCAUUCUUCCGUUGAUGGGCACUUAUCUUGACUGUUGUGAUGCAGCAGUGAGCAUGGAUGAGAAUGUCUUUCAUAUGCUAAUUUCAUGCCCUUUAGAUAGAAACCCUUUAGUGGGACUACUAGCUCAUGGUAGUUCCAUUUUUAAUAAACUAUUUAUAUUUAUUUAUAUAUAUUUAUUUAUAUAUUUCUAUUUAAUAAACCUCUGCACGGUUUUCCAUAAUCGCGCUAAUUGACAUUCCCACCAGUGAUGUGGGAAGGUAACCUUUCUGUUGCCUUCCAUGUGUUUGAGAACAGCCAUCCUACCAGGUGCGAGGUGAGUGAUGGUGAGCGUUUUUUCAUUGACCUGCUGGCCAUCUGCACGUAUUCUUUUGAGAAGCGUCUAUUUGGGACCUUCGCUCAUUUUUAAAUUGGGUUAUUUGUCUUCUUGCUAUGGAGUUGUUGGAGUUCCUGAUGUGUUUUUGAUAGCAAGCCCUUGUCAGAUGUGUAAUCUGCAGGCGUUUUCUCCCCCCAUUCCGUAGGUUGUCCCUUCGCUCUGUUGAGUGCUCCCUUGGCUGUGCACAUGUGACUGAUGUGCUGAUGUGACCCCAUUUGGCAAUUUUUGCUUGCACUGUUGGGGAGCAUCCAAAACAGUCACUGCCAGCGCAGUGUCCUGGAACACCCCCGCCAUGUCGUCUUCUGCUGCUUCAGGUUUAGGUCGUAAGUGGACGUCUUUAACCCGUUCCGAGUUGGUGCUUGCGUGUGGUGUGAGACAAGGAUCUGGUUUUGUGCUUUUGCAUGUGGGUAACCAGUUUUCCCAGCAUCCUUUGUUGAAGAGACCAUUCUUUCCCCAUUGCCUGUUCUUGGCACCUUUCUGAAAACUCACUUGACCUUAAAUGAGUGAAUUUAUUUCUAGGUUCUCUUGUGUUCAGUAGUCUACUUCUUAGGUAUCUAUUAUAAGACUGUUACAGCAUUGUCUUUUACUUCAUUUUAUGUAUUUAUUUUUAAAGAUUUAUUGAUUUAUUUGAAAGGCAGGGUUACAGAGAGGCUGAGGGAGAGACAGAGAGGGUCUUCUGUCUGUUGGUUCACUCCCCAAAUGGUCACAACAGCCGGAGCUGGGCCGAUCAGAAGCCGGGAGCCAGGAGCUUCAUCUGGGUCUUCCACAUGGGUGCAGGCGCCCAGGUUCUUCCGCCGUCUUCCACUGCUUUCCCAGGCACGUUAGCAGGAAGCUGGGUUUGAAACUAGCAUCUGAGACUGGAACCGGUAUUCUGAUGUGGGAAGCUGGCUUUGUGGGCAGCAGCUUAACCUGCUGCACCACAGCCCUGCCUCACUUAACUCCUUUUCUAUAAUCUCUAUUCUACCCUUUCCAAAACUGUAUCUGGUUGGAUGGCUGCACCAUCCCUUUUCCCUGGCUGCCUCAACUUUUCUGGACAAAUCUGAAUGGGAAACCAUCUCUGAACACUGCCUAAAAUUUCUUGAGUAUGUUAGCUCAUUGCUGGACCAGUGGUGGUGGAAGGCUUCAAUUACUUGAGUGGAAUAUUCUCAUUUGCUUCCCUUGUCCUCUUGAGAAACAAAAAAGUCCAAGAGUAAGUAAAACUGUUGGUGGUUGGCUCCUCAGUAAAGCAUUCAAGAUGGGAAAAACAGAUGUCAAAUUAUUUUUGUCUUUUGUCCUAGAAAAAAUGGCAGCAAUGAGCUUUUCUAUAUUUAACACCUCCUUCCUUUCAGAGCGCACUUCCUUUUUGCGAAGAGGCCAUAAAGAGCCCGUGUCCACAGUGGCCCCUUCUGCUUUGCCUCUAUGAAGACCGCCAGCCUCCCCCAGGACUGCCGAGCUCACAAAAGGCACUGAUGGAGUCUGUGAGGCAGACCUGUGGCCCGAGCCUGGAUGUCCUGCAGGUGCUGGGUGUAGAAUCCCUGGCUCUUGUUGUAGAGAUAGGAAUUCCAGGGGUGACGUGGGCCCGCCCUGCCCAGCCCCAGUGCAGCAAGGGUUCCCUGAGCCGAACCAGCACCAGCCCGUCCCUAAGCAAAUGAACUGAGGUGUGGACUGUGUUGUUAGAGAACACAGCGGAGGGUCUUUGCCUGGUGGCCUUAAAAAACUGUCGUGAAAAGUGGUCCCGAAAUUGCUUUAUUGUAGUGGGGUGUAGGUUUCUGUGUGUAUACCGUUGAUGUAGUUUUUCGGUAUUUGUAUUUAAAUGAUUGUUAACUGAAAAUAUAGUCACUUGUUGGGGAGCAAACAUUUGCCUGUGCGAAUAAUGUGGGGAAUUAAAAUCUGACGACAAAUGUGCAGCCUGAGAGAUUAAAGAAAUAACUUUACAAUGAAGGCAUCUUUUGUCGGGUUUAUUCUUCUUGCCACUUAGGAGAUGUGAAUUCUGGGAAGCUGUAGGCUGGUGGCGUAAUGCAUUGUUCUGAGGGGGAAAUACUUGGACUGGCUUUUGAAAAAACAGGAAUUGCGGACAGAUUGGGACACUUGAUAUUUUCCUUGUUCACAAGGCAAAGUUUUUGGUUAGAGCCAGCUUGUUGAUAUUUAAAUUUCAAUCUGUGCUUCUCUGAGUGUCCUCCCCCGCCCACGAGGACAAACGUGGUUCGCGUCCUGUCUUCCAGCCUGCUGAGCUCGGCGUUGGUCACCUUUACAGCCGUGCCCUGCGACGCGGGCUGUCGCGGUGAGCUGGGCGUUAGUGAUGAGCGUGUCUCACUAAGCAGUGUACUCGAGAAGCGGGCUGUAGGUGAUUCUUGCCUGUCCCUCGCACCCCCCCACCCCUCCUAUGUAGGUUGGAAGGUUAUCCAGGGAACUGCUUUAUCAUUGCUUUUUGUUUAGGAGUUGUUGAAACACAACACCCGACUGAGAGCACAUGAAGAAUGCCCUUUUCAGGAGAAAACAACCUGAAGAAGCUGUAGGCCAUGGGGAAGAGCUUGACUGCGUCUGGUCCUGGAACUCCCCGUGCCUGUGUCCCAGGCAGGCUCAAGGACUACGCCAGGGCCUUCCCAUAAGUGACCAGUGACAGCAUGACCAGGCUUCCCUGGGCUUUGAUGUUUGAAUUGGCAUGAAAUCCCAGUCCUAGAGGACUACUUUUCUUUUGGGUAUAAAUUAGUAAGCUCAAAGCAGUCAAAAACAUCAGGGAAGAUGGAGUUAAAAAAAAAAGGCAAAUUGAGGAAAAAGCCAUGCAGGGAUUUCAAAAUCUUUUGCACCAAAAUAAACUCGCCUCUCCAUUGUUCUCCCCGCAAGUUUUUGCAGUCUUCCUGUAUUUUGUCUUCACUUGAUUUGGGACCACACAGCCAUUUAAGAACAUAGGUACGAAUUCUGGCAGAAGCCGUGCACUCUGCGACGGCUUUUACUUCUCACACAUGUUCCAUGUGUAUGUUCCGUGUGUGUGAUGAUGUAGUCCUGAGGCCUGGAUGGCUGGGGCAGUGUCCUGUUUUCAUUGCUUUGGUAAUUGAAUGGCUCUGGGGAGGCUGCUUUACAAUACAAAUUUGCCUGCCGGGGAGGAGGGCAAUUAAGCGGUCGUGAUAGGCGUGCCCAUGGGCUGGCCCUCUGCCUGUUUGGUUUAGGGGCUUGAAGAGAAAGGAAUCAUCACACGCUGUCUGAUCCCGGUAUCUGUGUGUCCUGUGUCCUGGUGAGACCACGCGCUGUUUUGAGGGGGCUCUGGGCAAGGGCUGCCACCUUGUGGCCGUUCAUGGGAUCACCGCAGUCUGCAUGGGCGAGCCUGGACCCGGGCUGGGAUCACUUUGACUCUUCCUUCUCAGGGAGUGCUCACCUUAGGGUCCUGCAUACCCCCUGCCCCGCAGCAACGUCACCUGUUCUUCCUCUGCACCCAGAGCACCCACAGUGCGCUGCUAGUUGCAGAGAUUAGAAGGAGGUGCAAGAGAAGACAGGCUGUCUUUGUUUACGAUACAGUCAAGUGACCACACAGAGCACAAACACAGGGCCUGGGCCAGCGGGAGAGGCAGGAGAGACUCCAUGGAGUUCAGGAAGGGAGCCCAGGGAGACUGGGAGGUCUUUGAGCAGGCAGACGGAAGGGAGGGCGUCUCGAGGGCCUUUGUUGUAGGCAGGGCCCAGAGAUGGCCGGUCACCGCUUAGCAAGGGCGCAUGCGGAAGGCUGUGUUUGGGCUUUAUUCUGAAGCCAGGGUCUGGAUGUGGUGCGCCCUCUAGGGAAUAGGGCAGCCCUUGCCCCCCCAUAGGUGAGGGUCCUUCUGCAAGUUUUAGGCUGAAGUCUCGACUUUCUUCCCUGUAUGAGCUUAAUUGCUGCUUGUGAACCUGCUAGAAAUUCAUGCUUUGCAAUGUUGUACAGGACAAGAUUUUGUGAGGCAUGUUCCCUGGCUCUACCUCUCUCUCUCAGUAACUCUGCUUUUCAAAUAAAUAAAAAUAAUUCCUCAAAAAAAUAAAUCUUCGGGCCAGCGCUGUGGCAUAGUGGGUUAAGCCUCCGCCUGCAGCACCAGCAUCCCAUAUUGGCACUGGUUCCAGAUCUGGCCGCUCCACUUCCAAUCCAGCUCCCUGCUAAUGCACCUGGGAAAACAUUGGGAGAUGGCCCAGCGCUUGGGCCCCUGUGCCCAUGUGGGAGACCCAGAAGAAGCUCCUGGCUCCAGUCUGGCCUAGUGCUGUCCAUUGUGGCCACCUGGGAAGUGAACCGUCAGGAUGGGCGAUCUCUGUCUCUCUCUCUCUCUGUAACUCUGAUUUUCAAAACAAAUAAAUCUUCAAGAAAAAAGAAUAUGGAUUUAAACAUAAGUUAAUGGAAUACAUGCAGACAUUUUUAAAGCCUGCAUUUUAGAGUGUUAUGAAACAGCUUUUGGCUAUGGAAAGUAAACUUAGGAAAAUACUUAAUCCAGUUCUGCCAGUUUUAAAUAUAUUUCUGUUAUUCUUUCUGGGAGAAAAACUUAAAGGGCUGUUUGGAAAUUGGAAAUUUUGCGUGUUCCCCUUUUCGUCAUUCUUAGGGAUAUGAGAUUCUAAACCCCUGUCAUUUGGAAAGUAUAUUAAUAACAGAUGUGAUGGCCUAUAAUACACGUUGGUUAUACUUCUCUUGAAACCUGGUAUAAAAAUCUGGGUUUAUGAAGUAGACAAUCCAGGGGCCUUUGUAUGUUCUACAAGUCAUACCCUCAGCUCUUUCAGGAGGGUAGACGUGCCUGCGUUAAUUUGUGACAGUUCUGAUGUGUACACACAUUUUAUGGAUAUUCAGAAGUUUAGAGUCUUAGGAUCACUUUUGCUUCC